UUUUCAUUUGUGUAUCUGCCAAGAGUGGCUUCUGAUCCAAUUUGAAGCAAUUUGCAAAAUUCAAGUACCAGAAAUUGCUUUCUUUGCCGAUUGAUAAGGUUUCCAGUGAUUCACAACCAACAGCCUCCAAGAAUUCUACUGACGGUGGAAGCUCUGGUAGAGAAAGAAGACUUUUGCAAUAAUUCAAUUUAAGAUAUUUCAGCACAGGGAGUUUUUCAAUGAAACUUGGAAGGCUGACAAGGUUAUCGCAUCUAUUGAGUUGCAGCAUGUAAAGGCAGCUUAAAAAUUUAAUCGAUGAGGGCAACUCUUUAAUAGCCGUUCCACUCAAAUCAAGACAUUUCAAAGAUUCCAUUGGCUCCAAGAUUUCUGGGAAGCUCUCAAGUUUUGGGCAGUAGCUUAGCUCAAGUCGUUCAAGGCACUUCAAUUUACAGAUGCAGGUUGGGAGACUAGAGAGCUGUUCACAGAAAUUCAUCUCCAAUACACCGAGAGUUGCAAGAAACUCGAUCGAUGAGGGAACCUCUUCUAUAACUGUCCAAAGCAACCUUAACUGCUUUAUAUUUCCUGGUAUCUGGGGAAACUUGGUGAUAUUUGAGCAGCCUGAUAGAUCAAGAAUUCUUAUCUCUUUCACUUUGCUAAUCGACUGGGGAAGUUCUUCUAUUGCAGUCCCUUGUAACAUCAAUUCUUCCAAAUAUCCUGAAAUUUCAGGGCAUUUUCUGACCUUUUUGCAAUGUGAUAGAUCAAGAAUUCUCAGAAACUUCGAUUCAAUCCUUUUUGGAACAAUCCCUAGAUUCUUACAACCACUGAGAAUGAGGAUUUCUAGCUUUUCAAGAUGUUGAAUGGAUGAGUGCACCUCAAGCAAACUCUCACAGAAACUAAGAUCUAUAUACUCCAAAUUUUUGGCCCUCGACAGAUCUGGAAUUUCUAACAAAUAUGUCGACCUACUGAGGUCAAUCCAUCUUAAAUUCAGAAGAUCCUGUCAGAAGCAAAACAGGACAAACAAAAGAACAAAGGCUUAAAUAGAGAUUAGGAGUCUUGAAGUUCAUAAUUCUCAUAUAGAUACUCCAUAGCAAAAACAAAUCGUACCUGUACCCCCGUCCAAAGUUGCUCAACUCUGCUAGAAUGUAGUGUAAGGUCAACAAUGUUUUCGGCACAAAAAUUUUGUGGCAGAGAUUUUGCAGGGAAUCUAUGCCAGUGGAGAUAUUUCAGUUCAUCAGAGAGAUAUUUGAGGCCACUCAGAGGAAGGUGCACUUUGUCUUUGGAGUCCAUGAAGUAAAAGGGAUGGUAGAAUUUAAGAAACCUGAGACUAUUCAUCCUUGCAAACGUGUCGGAUUCCAAGUGCAUCUCCGGCAUUUUAGAUAUAUCCAAACAAAUGCCUUCAACUGCUUCAGUUCCCUGAUAACGAAGGGCAGAGAAUAAGUUUGCAAUACAUAAUUUAGAGCAUGUGAUAGAUAUAUUUUGAGCUACUUGGAAAAUCAACUGUGUUCACGAUACAUAACGACCUGUGCUUACGAGAGAAAAAAUAUUCACAAACUAUAGAAUUUACCUUCUUUUUCUUCAGUACGUGAUAGAUAUCUUCAUGAUCACACAACCUGCUGCGUUUUCCAGGAUUCUUAGAUUCUUCACGAACGAUGCUAUAAGCCAUUUCUUGUAGUAUAUCAUGCAUCUCUAGCGUGUUCUGAGAAAUGGUGAUUAGAGACUUGUCAAUGAGAAUGCUCAAGUCAAACUGCAGAGAGGAAUAACAACUGUCUAAAACUUUUACAGCAUGGUUACAUUCUGCGCCAUUGAAAAAGAAUGCAAUAUCAAGAAAUAUUUGCUGCUGUUCCCCAUCUAAUCCAUCGUAACUAAUCCUCAACACCCUUUGAAUUUCAGGGUUUGGAACUUUCCCCAACUUAUUCAAUGCACUGUACCAUUUCUCUUUGCUUCUAUCAUAAAGAGAGGAACCCAAGACUAUCAGAGCCAACGGAUUACCUUUUGCAUAAUCUACCAUCCUCUCUAACAACUCUAUGUGAUCCCUCUUGGGACAGUUCUUCUUGAAGGCAUUCAAACUCAGGAGUCGAAGGGCGUCAUGGUUGUUCAAUCCUUGCACCUUAUAUAUGGCAUCAACUCCAUUCUUUAUAAGCACUUGCUUAUCCCUGCUUGUUACAAGGAUUUUGCUUCCUGGGCCAAACAAAUCAUGCACCCCAAGUGACAACUCCUGCAAUUGCCUCGAGUUAUCCACAUCAUCCAGGACAAUAAGAACCUUUUUGCGGCGGAGACAAUCCUUUGUAAAAGCAACUGCCAAACUUGGAGGCUGCUCAAGUAGAUUAUCUUCAUCUAAUAUUUUAGAAAGAAGUUUGUUUCGUAAAUCAACUGCAGUAUACCUUCUUAGAUUUUCCCUGACAUUUGCAAGAAAGUGGAAUCCUUCGAAUUGAUUACAGAUUCGAUCAAAUACAGCUCUUGCAAUGGUGGUCUUGCCUAUACCACCCAUUCCUCAUAUUCCUAUGAUCCGAACCUCUUGUGAAUCCAUGCACAACAAAGAUUCAGUUCUCUUGAUGUGUUCCUCAAUUCCAACCAGAUUCAUAGAGUGACCAGGAGACAUUUUAUACAACUUGUUCAAGAUAUCUCCAGCAAUCGCCUCAAUAAGUUCAGACUCUGAUCUACCAAACGUAAAGAAUACAUCUUUUAAGUUCUUGAGAAAUUACAGAAAAUAACACAAAGUAUCAUAUCUAAUUUUCAGAAUCUGGGUUUAAUAACGCUGCUAAAUUUCUUAAAGAUAUUAAGUAAGCAUAUAAUAUAUUUGAUUUACUACAUAAGAAUAAAUGAUUUUAAAUAAAGAUCUUGAAGGGUCCACGACGUCUGUUUAAUUACUGUAUUCUGAUAUUUGUAUGGACAAGACAUCGCACAUCAUUAAAAAAAUACAUGUUAUUUACUUUAGAAUUUUGCUUCGUGAACCUUUCGGUCUGAACGAAUGUUUGAACAAUUUGAAGUAAUGGUCUAGCUUAUUGAUAUUUUUUUUUAGAACAAAUCACUUAAAUAUAUUUUAUUUUCUUGGUUACUGAUAAUAAACAUGGCUUAGUUCAGCAAAUUCAACUAGGACCUUGUCUAAGUUGGAUUUCAAAAUAAACAUAGUGUAAGUUGACUUUGUCAAACUCUGACGAGUAAAUCUUGAAGAAGCUCACCUAAUGUUCCGCGAAUCCCACCCAGUUAGAGUAGCCACUUCCUUCAAGGCAGCUCUCCAUCUCUUCACCUUUUCCAUCUUUUCUGUUACUAGUUCAAGUUCACCGAUUGAAUCCCCAACAGUUUCAGUUUGAUUUCUUACAUGAGAUGGAUUGACAUGGUAGAACACCGGUAUAACCGUCUGUCCAUUCAUUUCCUUGCAUUCCAGGAUCUUUACAAGCUCGUCCAAGCACCAUUUGGAGGAUGCAUAGUUUUCAGAGAAAACAAUCACAGAAAGCUUGGAUUCUUCAAUUGCUUUCAAGAGUGAUGAACAAAUCUCGUCUCCUCUCCUGAGGUUGUUGUCUACGAAGGUCAGGACUUUUUUUCUACACAAAGCAGCAUAUAGGUGGCUGGUAAAAUUAUCACGAGUGUCCUCCCCUCUGAAACUGAUAAAGACAUCAUAUUUUCUUGCAGGGAUGCUAGCUGAAGCAGAAAAGGAGGAAGCCAUUUGAGAAAGUUGAUUCCAGGUAAAGUAUAGUCAAUCUAUGCAUAAGAUUAAAUGGGAGAAAACAAAGAGUAGGGAUAAGGCUUAGUUAGUCUAGUCUUGUGUAUAAAUACAACGGGGGAAUCAGAUAUUUUGUUCACGCAAAACUUCCCACUUUCUUGGACAGAACUUAAUCCUCCUCGGACUUCCUCAUUGUUUGAAGACCAAGAAAAGGUCUAGCAGGCGAAUACAUGGGGACUUCCUCAUUCUUUGAAGACCAAGAAAAGGUUUAGGCGAAUUAAUACAUGGGGACCCAUACUGUAGCUAUUUGUCAAUAUGAAUUUUGCUGGUGAAUUUCUUGACUUUGGUCCCUCUAACAAAUUGUUUCCAGCCAUCCUUGCUUAAUAUUUCCAUGUCCUAAGAAUCAUGCACGCUUGUGACACUGGCACGUGCCACAAUGAACUUCAGUCUUCAUCUCGUCGAGCUUUCGUUGCUUGAGAUUUAUCUUCUUGACGCAACAAGACUGGAGAAUUCUUUGCCUUUUGCUUUAUUAGUUCUGUUUAGAUUUUGAAAUUGGACAGUUGCUUGCAAGGGUUCCUCUACCAUAAAAAGAAGAAAGUUUUUAAAAAAAAAAACAAAGAAAAAUGAUGACACCCAAAACAAAUAAUUUUGGCAUUAAAAUAAUACCCUCAUGCAAAUAUUAUUAAUAUUACCAAUACUAGUAAUUAUAUUCAACCUCAUCUCUAAUUAAGAAAAAUAUUAAUAUAACCAUGGGAGUGUAACUCAACUGGUCAGAUCAUUGAUUUGCUUCCUAGAGGUUACCGGUUCGAGUCUCACAAACAUCAGGGCUACUGGAAGCUUACAUGGUCGUUAACUUCAGGACCCGUAGAAUUAGUCGAGGGGCGCACAAACUGACCCGGAUAUCCACGUUAAUAAUAAAAAAAAAAUAUUGAGAAAUUUCCUAAAAAACAAAUUAUUAAUAAAAACGAAUCCUAAAAAUAGAGGUCAAUCCUGUUCUUACAUUAUUUGACAUAAAACAACGUACUUAAAUCACUAAUAAACUGCAUAGUUUUAUAUUAGAGCUUUGUUUUGACUAUUAAAAUACUAAAUAUAAAUUAAAUUAAAUUUUAAACUGAAUCCCUAGUUUAUUUAUAGUUAUUAUCCUCUAUUAUAUUUCAGUCUUUUGCACUAACACUAAUAUUAGUAGAAAAGAAAAUAUUUGCUGAAAAGUAAUGUAUAAAAUAGCCUAAAAUUAAUGACCUUUUCCUUUUCGGGGAAAUAACUUGUUUGAGGGUUGAGAAGAAAAAAAAUAAACCUAUUUGUUUUUACCUUUCAAAAACAUUUUAAAAAACAUUUAAAUUUAAAUUUAAUUUUUUUUCUUUACUUUAAAUUAAUAUUUUUUUAGUAUUUUUAGAUUAUUUUAAUGCCCUGAUUUUGAAAAUAAUUUUAAAAAAUAAUUCAACCACUGCAUGCAAGAACUAACCGAAUAUUUGCUGCGAAUAAAUUAAUUACAAAGAGAAGCGAAAAUCACGGAAACGAUUAAUUAUAAUUGUAUUCUCUUGACCCAAAAGUCAAGGGAUUUGAGUACGUGUCAAGUUACUGGAGAAGACCUUGACCAACCGAAAUAAAAAAAACCAUGUACUUAGCAACGUAAAUAAAAUAAACUAGAGAAGACUUCGGUCGGUCGGUCAAACAAUAUAGUUACUAGUAUAUUUUAUUACUACCCUACUAUCACUCCUCCUCCUUUUUCUCAAUUAGCACCGCACCAUUAUUAUCAUUUUUAUUAUUUUUAUUUCUAUCACUAUUAAUAAAAUUAGUUUGUUUGUCAUUAUUCCUUUAUAUUUUUAAAAUAAAACAUUAAAAAAUUUUAAUUUUAUUUCAACUCCGCCAUUCUAAUUUUGAUUUCUCUAUUCUCAUUCCGGAUAUUUUAUUACUAUAAUUUGGACGCUUUCUAAUAGAAAAUAAAUCCAAAAUAUUUAUGAUGAACACUCGCUAUAAACAAUCUUAGACAAAGAUUUAAUAAUGACACCAUGUUUGGUCCUAGGUUAAAACAAUAUCUCAAAGAUUGGUCUUGUAUGUACAUAUACUUCUAAUCAAAUUAUCUAGUCUUAUUUAUGGAUUUAAUUGAUCUAUCUACAUAGAGAUAUAUCAUAUCUUCCUAUUAAAUUUAUAAAAGUCAUAUUCUCACUAUAAAAUCUUCCAAUAAUAACUACGGAAUUUUUUGUCUAUCUAAGGUCUCUUUUAAAUGGAAUAAAACAACUUCUUUGAAAACCAGUUUGGCAGUAUUAGCUUCAUUUAAAGAUUUUUUACAAGAAAUAAAAUGUGUCAUCUUGAAAAACUUGUCAACAACAAUAAAGACAAAUUAUAUUCCUUAUACAAGUUAACCUAAGAACAAAAUCCAUAAAUAAAUUCUCUUAAAUAUUUCUAGGUACAAACAUGUAUAAAUGUGUGCUCUAAGUUAGUUCCUUAGCAGUUUAACAAACAUAAUAGUCCUAUAAAAAUCAUCAUUCAUCGAUCUUUAAUCAUGACUUUCAUCAUCCAAUUUUUAUUCCUUUAAAAGAAAAAUAAAUAAAUAAAACGAUAACCAACAAUGGUAUCCAAUAUAUAUAUAAUCUACCCUUGACACAUGGCACACACGUUGAGAGAGGAAAAGGAAAAUUCAAAAAAUCAUAAAAGACAAAAACAUAUAUACCAAGGUAUAAAAAUAAAGAUGAGAGAAGAAAAGAUUGUUGAGGUAGUGGUCAUUCCACAUCCCAAACAUACACAUGUCAUACCAUAAUAUUUUCUUUAUUGUUUUUUUUUAAUUUAGUUUAGUCCUUAAUUCCUAACAAACUCAUGUCACAGUCCGUACUUAUUAGAUUUUAUAAUUAGGCUUAUCUUGAUCGUUUUAUUUUCAAUUUAAUAAUAUCUAAUCUUGAUUGAUUCAUUAAAAAUCUAUGGUUUCCUAAUAUCUAUGGAUAUCUUUUCCUGUUGAAGUUUUCAUAUAUUUUAGUGAUCAAGACCAAAAUAUUAAUGACACCAUUGAAUAAAUUUUAUUGUUUUUUUAAUUGAAAUAAAAAAAAUAAGGAUUAAGUUGAAUAAUUUGACAGUGACAUAAGCUUUUAUAAGGCCUUUGAUAAAGGUGGCACCCUUUUUUACUCUUUUGUACAUCAUUUUAGUAUACUUCCCCCUUAAAUUGGAGUUGUCUGCACAAUUUAAGGGUGUAAGUGGUGCUAACGGAGGAGCCACUUGUUGUGGAAGAGGUAGGCCUAUAGUUGCUUUUAUAUAGGUAAAAGAGUUUGUUAAGUAUUUCACUUGUUGAGCUGAUUACUAAAGAUUUGGUGAUGAUGAUGGAGCACUUAUGGUGCCCAUGUCCUAGAAUUUCUGGCUUGUUAGCCAUGGAAAAACAGAAAAAAUAAAUGGAACUAUCUUUUAUUCAAGAAUUCCUCACGAACAAUACCACUAAUAAGGUUUAAGGUAAACCCUAUAAGAUUAAGAUCUUUUCAAUAUUGAUGAAUGGGCUAAAGGUUGAAGAUAUACUACUAAAUUUGGAGAUCAUAAGCGCUUACAAAACAAGUUAUAUAUUGGGCUUGGGGAACUUUCUAAUGCUUUAGUUAGCAUAAAUAAAGGAGGAAUAAAGUCUUAUAAUGUGUGUAGUGUGUGUGUGUGUGUGUAUUAAAAAGAGUCAAAAGCUUAAGAAGAAGAAGAAUAUACACUAGAAAAUAUAGAAAUGGAACUUAUCUUACCUAAUGACUCAUGAAUAUUUAUAUAGCCAUGAACCACAUCAACUUAAAUGAAGAUAAAAGAGAAGUGAGUAAAAUACUAUGACUCAUGAAUAUUUAAUCACUAAAGAUUAGUGAUUACUUCUAGUUUUAUUAAAAGUCAUUUAGAGUAACAACUCUAAAUAGCUGGUGGUUUGUUAUUGAGUGGAAAUGAUAUUGUUUUUUGAGCAUUUCAUUUUAUAAAUCUAAUUAUGACUAGAGAAUGCGAGAAUAUUUAAUGCUUGAUAACAAUUAUAUGAAAAGUUGGUGCAAUAUUUUAGGGUUGAGGUAUGUAUGCAGCUUUGUGCUCUUAAAGGUGGUUUUAUUUGGACCUGUGCCUUCAUGUAUUUUAUCCAUUUACCCUUAUCUUAAUCUACAAACUAAUGUAUUAUGGAUCAAUUGGAUCAAUUAGGUUUUUUAUUAUUCAACCACCCUUUUUAGAUCUAAUGAAGCAUGUUUAGGUCUAAAAAAUAUAUAAUUUGUAUUCGAGCUUUAAACCUAGAACACAUCUUGUCCUAUUAGGUUUUUGAGUUGGCUCAUUCUUUAUGUCACUGGCCUACCUAGUGAUUAGGGUCGUAAAUCCUACACCCAUCACAAGGAUAGUUGAAUUAUUAUUGAGAAUUUAAACUUCCCUUCACAUGCUUCUCUAUUUAUCUCCUGUUUACUCUACUCCCCUGCCCCCUUAACAUAUAACACCCCCUGCGGACAAUUUAUUUUUCCCAACACAACAAAAUCCCCACUAUUGAAACAGAUUUUACUGUGUUGGGCAAUAUCGCAUUCAAAGAACAAGUGGGAUGUAGGUUCAAUAUCAUUUCAGCAGAUAGGACAGACAUUUGAGCGGGUGGUGGAGUUUGAUUCAGUCUAUGCAGUUUCUUGGAUGUGUGAUGGCUCAACAAAGCUAUGGUUCGGGAGGAUGCAAAUUCUUUUCAACUCUGUUGCCAUGAAAGUUAAAGAUUUGAGGAAAGUCAGCUUCAUUUACACCAUAAGACAAGGAAAUGUAGUUGCUUGGCAAAGCAAAGCUUGGAUAGGUGGGAGGAUUUCAUUGCCUGGUUCUAAUUCUAUGUUUCUCGUUCAGUUUAUCUUAUUUAAUCCUUUUUCUUUAGUUUUCCAUUCUCUUGAUGCUCUGUUCUGUCUUGCUUCUCUUCACUAAUAAAAGCUCAUCGUUUUUCAUAUAUAAAAAAAAAAACAUGAGUUACUGUAUACAGCUUUUCUUAGUCCCAAGUUAUGUCCCACUUUCUACAAGCAACAAAUUUGGUUGUAAAUUGGUCAUUUACUUUAAUUUUAUGCCAAAGUGAAAAGAUUUAUUUAUUCUGAUCAAGAAAGAAUAGAAAAGAUUUGCUUGCACAAGUUUUAGUUUUCCACUUGUAAGAAGCCUAAAGUUUGGUUAAAUCAUUAAUAAAAAAAAACAACUAAUGUAGAUUUUUAUCCGUCAAAUCAUAAUAAUUUUCAAAGCCAAUAUUGAAAAUUUACCAUGACAGAAUUGUGAACUUGAAAAAAUUAAUGCUACAUCUCAUGCAUGGGCAAAGCAUUAACGAAGAAGCAUAUCAGUCCCAAAUUAAAGCAUAGAAGUAAGUAAUAUAUCCAUUCUCAACCACCAUUGUUGAAGAAUGAAUGUUAUCCUAAGUAGCAUUCUAAUUACAAUCCAAACCAUAGGCUUAUACAUAAUAUAAAAAGUAUUCUUGUCCAUCUCCAGGUAAAAGUUCCAUGGAGAGAGAGAGAGGGAGGGAGGGAGGGAGAGACGGCAGAGAUUGGUGAAGCUGGCCUAAGUCCUAACCAUGGUUGGUGGGUUAGAGGAAAAGAACCCAAGGGAACCAAAAUAUCUCCCUGGGUUACAUGCAGGGUGCUUUGAGCUCCACAUCCAUUUAUGGAGUUCUUAGCAUGAUGUUGUAAUAAGAUAACUAAAUGCAAAGUAAACAAACACUACCCCUCCUAUUGCUUACUAAAAUGGGCUAAAACUCCCAAAGUUUAGCUCCAUUGAAUUUACAAGAAAGGAAAAACAAGAGUUGAUAAGAUUUUCUUCCCUCGCCGAAGGAAAGAUCUUUUGUUAAAACACAUUUAAGAUUAAUUAAAAGUAAAGUUGGUAAAAGCAUUUAUCGAAACAUGACUGCACUGUCCUAGUUCUAAAAUCCUAAGACUAGCUAGCUAGAUGUUAAUGCACAAAAAAACUGUGGGCAACCAUGCCCAUGAUUUCGCUAAAAACUGCCUCUUCAACUCGAGGUGAUUAGCCAUGUUGGAGGGAUUAUCCAUUUAAAAACUGUUCUUGAAAAUGAAGGGUUUGCUGUCUUUCUUGUUGAAUGUACAUUUUUGGCAAACCAUUUUUAAGUUGAUUAGCCUUGCCUAGGCUAAAAUUUACAAAAUGGUUGUUUCACUUAGCCUUUCUGGGGCUACUGAUUGAGAAACUUUUUUCCAACCAAGCUAAUCCAAUAGCUUGAGCUGGUGAUUACAUACACAUGUAUUGGUUCUCUUCAAGGAGGAACCCUUCUUUCAAAAAGAUGCAAUGAAAAAAGAUGCAUGACUCUCCAAUUCUUGGAGAAGAUUUUAACCCCUAUGGGGGGUUUUGUGUGUGCAAGAAGCCCAAGAUCCAGGACAUGGGCUUGUGUUAGGAAGAGAAAGAAAGAGAACCAUGGUUAGGCCGAAGGAAUUUGAGGCCUCGAAUGAAACAGCUGAGGAAGCUCACAGAAUAGAAGUGGCUAAACUGGGACACCCUCUAGCGAUGAGGAAUUGGUGGAGCUUGAAGAGCCAAGGUCACGCCUGUGGCACAGCAAAACACACUGUCAAAGAUAUCAGUACUCCUUCCAGUAAAAAAAGGCAUAAUUAAUUAAGUAUUGUUUAGAAAAUAAUUGUUAGGACCAUUCCUUGCUGUAGAAACUUAAUAGCAUUAAUCUAUAUAGGUUUUGUUUAAGAAAUUAUUUCUAAUAUAAGAGGAUGUUGGGUAGCAUAAUUUAAAAUCUUACAUCGGAAAAUGUGAUCACUUGUCUUCUUUAGCUAAGCAGAAGAGGAAAUAAUACUAUAUAUAUAUUGGUGACCUAAUUAAAUUUUCAGUUCUCGUUUUACAAAGCCUAAAAUUGGCAGAUGCAGUAAAGGCCAUAAAUAUGAGAAGAAGCCGUAAAGAUGGCAAACCUGAUGGCAAGGCCGCAGUGGGAGCAAGAGACAUAGGUGCACCAUAAUGCUGUGGAUAUCCUCCGGUGGUUGAAUUAAUGGCUGAAUACUGGAACAGGUUGUAUGGGUACUGGACACCAUAGCUCUGCCCGGAAGUAGGGUAGCUGGUGGCGGCUCCUCCACUUCCUUCUCCAAAUUGUAGAUACGGGUAAAAGGCUGCAGCUGAACCAUUCAUCAGCCCACCAUGCCCAGUUCCAUACAUGGGAUACUGUGCAGUUGCCCCUCCAUACACAUUGUAGUAGCUCUGCACCAUUAACCAAAAAUCCAAACAAUUCACUAGAGAUAUAUAAUCUAUCCAUGCUUUCAUUUUGUGCAUUGAGUACAAAAACCCAAAAAAAUUAAAAAAAUAUCAGCAAUGCAUGAGUGCGGGUUUAUUUAUUUGUUUGGAUAAGAAAAUUGAUUCGUGGUAACAUCUGGGGCAUUGAAUCUAGGACCUUAGCUUCGAGGAAAUCUAUGUUGCGAAGAAAUAGGAUAAAUCAAAAGUUUUAACUUAUUCCUACGGCGUCAUUCUAGCAAAUUAACAAAGAAAACCCUGCCGGCGGUCACAGCUGGUCCAUGAAAUUUCAGAAGAAAGUGAAAGUGUUACAGAGAACGGACCACAAAGCGUCUAUUUUCAAAUUGACAAAGAACAACAAGACAAAACAGCUUUAAAUUAACUUUUGGUCACCACUUUGCAUUAAUUUUACAUCUUUGGAGGCAAAAUCACGAUGAUGACAUUACUUUAAUUUAGCUUAUCGAGUACAUACAAUGAUGGGCAUCAGAUUGUACAAAUGCUACCAUAUGUUAACAGUAUUUUCCUUGUCUAACCAAGAACUAUUCACUAAUAUUAUACUUACAUGUUAGUACAUUAAUAAUUUAGUGAAUACUAUGUGUUGCAGAAAAGUUGUACAAAAUAAUUGUCUUGCCAUGCCGACAAUUGAAAUGAUAAGAGGUUAAAAUCAAUAUUAUUAAAUUUAGCUUGAUUUUAGCCAAGUAUAUUAGAUUAUAAAUCUAAUCCAGGUUAAUUUAAUAAGUUAAUUUGAAAUUUAGUUUAAAUUAGGAUUAAAAAAAACUUAUUAUAAGUUAAUUUGGUUAAACCUAGGAAAAUUAUUUUGAUUAAUUAAAAAAAUAUAUAAAUUAAUAAUAAAUCGAGCGGGGUUUAAUGUUAUUAGAUAAAAAAAAGCAACAUCCCCCGCGAAACAUGGCAGCAUGGUGAAUAAAUUUUUUACCUAGAACCCACCCCACCAUUUAAGCAUUUGACUAACCCUAAAAACGACAAAAUCGGAUGAAUAUUUCUCUCCAUCAAUAAUUUACAUGAUGGGAAAAGAAUAAGUACUGCAACAAUGAUUAUUUCACUCGAAGACUACCGAUAUGUGCCUGUCUUAAGAAUAUAUCAGGCUUGUAACAUCUUUCCAACUUGAACAUUAAGAGAAAACAUAACAAAAUAGUUGUCUAAGAAGUGUGCACGUUAGACUUUUGAGCCAAGAAAAUGUUGUCCUAUGUAACUUUAGGUGUUCGACAAAGGUUAUAUCUUUCUCUUCUUUUUUUGUUUCGAUUACAAUGUGUUCCAGCUUUAAUCUCGAAGAGAAAUGGUGGAUUAGAAAUUAAUUUCAUCUGAUAAUUUAUCAUUGAUUCUUACGGAAAUGAAUAAAAUUAGCCAUCCUCUUCCUUGCCUAGUUGCCUAUUAAAAACACUCUACUUUUUUUCAUAUGUUGCAAAUGGAUAUGUACAGUGCUUUUGACACGAUUUGAAAUGGCUUUUGAAGCAGUAAGUCAUCCAAAACAUAUUCCUGGAAAAACCAUUUGAGCAACUAGAAAAGGGAAACUUCUAUAUGAAGGAAGAUAAAUAGUAAAAAUAAUUGAAAUAAAAAGUUUUUUCCUUAAAAGAAAAGUCACUGUCUGCUAAAAGUAUGCUUGAAAACGCAUCCAAAGAUGUAGUGAGGAAAAAGCAAAAGAAAAGGAAGAAUUUGUACAAACCGUUGGGUAUGUGUAGUCUGGCGAGUAUGAAGAGUACCUGAAAUGGUGUAAUUAAAGAGAAAUGACAAAGCAAAUAAAGUUAGUGCUCGGUGCUUGACGUCAAAGGAGUCAGCGAAGAUUCCAAAAAAGAAUAGCUGGAGCUUAUGAAGCCAAAACAGUAUAAUGAUUGCCUUUCAACUAGCAUACAUCUGUGGGUAUGCAUGCAUAAAAUGAUAGGAGGUAACUUUUAUUUCAUUUUAUUUUCUGGUUUUAUAUUUGUCGGCCAGAGACUAUAAAUGAGCACUUGAUCUUCCAUCACAAUGCACCAUUUUAAGCAGAAACCUUAUAUUUAAGCUAUAUAAUUCUUACCAGAGACCAUGGUGAGAAGCAAAAAGAAGCAUGACAUUAACAUUCAGUGUGUCAUAUGCACGCAUGAAAAUGCACAUGAAUAAAAUGUACAGAGGCAAGACUUUGAACAUGGUUUUGCCAGUUGCAGGUGGGUCUCUCUGUCGUACCAUAAUAGAUAUAUAAAUUGAGUUCAGGAAUGGUGAUUGCCAUGGUCACCAUUCACAUGUAUACGUAUCUAGGGCUAGUAGGGUCUUGAAGAAAGGAGAUGGCCACGUGCUUGUAAUUUUUUGUCGAAAUGCACAGUGUCAAAGCCAUAAUGUGUCAUAUUUGUGCCAGCAAGUUGAGCAAUUGAAGUAAGUCUUGAGUGAAAGAUCAGCAAGAAGCAUGUGGAUGGCGAGUACAUGAUGAUGGAAAGGAAUAAAUAAAUGAAUGGCUAUCCUUUCUCUUCGUUUGAACCAAGUUCGAGAGACAGAGAGAGAGAGACAGACAGAGAGAGAGAGAGAGAGUAUGAUGAGGUGGCUUGAUUGAUGAAGCGUGCUCUCGACCACCCUAGUUUAAAGGGUUGGGUCUGCAUGAGUUGGCGAUGCACGUGCAUGCAGCAUCCCAAAAGAUAUGAGAGAGAGAGAGAGAGAGAGAGAGAGUGAGAGAGGGGGAGAGAGAGAGAGAGAGAGAGAGGGGCUAGCAUACCCAUAGACAUUAUAGGGCAUCCCUUGUUGGAUGGCAUAAUGAGGGAAGGAUGCAGCUGGAGGAAAAGCUGUGCCCACACCACCUCCAAACCCUGUCUGAAAAGAGCUCAUUACCCUAAAGUUCCUCCCUGCUCCUCCUGCUAUGACAUUUAUUUAUUAUUAUUGUUUCAUAUUUUUACACUAAAGCAGUUAUUUUUCAACUGAAAAACAGCUAACAUAAUCAAAGCUCGACCAGAUCAAAUGAAAAAGAAAAAAGAAGAAGAAGCUGGCAGCCCUUUUAUAUAUAAACUUCAACAAUAUUGAUGGGAUUAAUAAUAAAGCACAGAUUCCUUAACAAGUAAACUAAGUUGUUUGCAUGCUUGUAAAAGGCAAUCCACUCUCUCAGUUAUUACAUCAUGGAGUCCAGACUGUUCAAAUUACGAAGAACAGAACCUUCCCCCAUUUAGGAAGAAUAUUCACAAUGCACGAUGAUUCGACUGUCAAUGUGUUGCUUCGAAAACAGAAUAUGUUUUUGGACCUCCAUCAAAUUCUUAUCCAAAUUAAUCAGCAAUGAAUAUCCACAAAACUCUAAUAACCUUUGCCCAAAGAAUUAAAUAAUAACAAUUUCUGAAAAUAUCAAAGCAUCUCAAUUUAGACUUAAGACAGUGAAAAGUAAAAUGAAUAAAAGUUGUAAAAACUUCUUCUUCUUUUUUUUGGAUCUCAAAUAUAUAUAUAUAUAUAUAUAUAUAUAUAUAUAUAGACAUAAAUAUCCAUAUAUAUGAUCACAUUUAAAAAUUGUAUGGAAGAGAAAUUAAAAUAGUGAAAGUAGUAGGAGUAGUAUACCAUGCUUUGGGGUAGAGGGUUUGGAUCUCUGAACACCCAUAGAUGCAAGAUUACAAUUAGCUCUUCUUCCAUCUAUCACUGGAGCAGCAUCCACACAAGCCCUCAUGGCAGCAUCAGGUUCUCGAAAAGUUACCUAAAAUAGCAACAGCACACUUUCCCAGAUUAACUACCUCAAAAAUAAGACAGGACCCUAGUAUAAUUCUUGAUUCUUUUUCGAAAUCCGUAAUUUCCAUGCGUAACCCAUAACUAGAUCUGUCUUUAGCUCCAAGAUCUCACCAACUGCAUGCUUACAACACAAAAAACGCAGGAUAAAAACAUAUAUAGAUGAAGCAAAAAAGGGAGGGACAUACAAAUCCAUAGCCUUUGGAUCUGCCAGUGGCCUUAUCAGUGAUGACAACAGCUUCCAAGAUCUCACCAAACUGCUCAAAGUAUUUCUUCAUGGUCUCCUUUUGAGUUUCCCAAGCCAACCCUCCAACAAAUACCUUAGUAUAAGUUGUGUCACCAAACUGACCUGCCAAAUUUGCUGGAGUCAUCUUUCUUGAUUCUCUCUUUAUCCCUCCUUUUCUUUCCUGAGAUCUCUUGAUAUCACCAGUACCGCUGAAAACCAAAGCUCAGUAGCAAACAAAACUUUAUAGUAUAUGUCAAAAUGAGACCUAAUAUAUGUGACUAAAUUAACCUAUGCGACACCCAAUAUGGACAGAUAGAGGUGGUCGAUCUAGAUGUUAUGUAAGUGCCAAAGAUGAGAAAGACCCACUUGAUUUGAAGGGAUCUUUUCUUAGAUUUUAGAGGUGAAUUUUGGUGGUGAUGGAUGGUGGUCUUGAUAUUUGAUCAAGGAGAGACAAUUAGGUCAGUGAGAUUGAAAGAGAGAGAGGGAAUUGGGAGGGAAGAGAGAGCAAAAAUGGCUAGAAAAAAAAAAUAGGAAAGAAGAAAGACAACCUUGUAAUACGGACAUCAAUUAUAUACUCAAACAGCAGCCCCGCCUCUUUUUCUCUUUCUCACGCGCCAUUAUUUCGUGUGUUUGCCACCAUAAGAUGAUAAUUGGUGUUUUGCUCAUCAUGUGUGCGAUAUACGUGCUGUGUUGAGUGUGGGUAUGGCUUUUGCGGCAUUAUUAUGUCCCUCAUAGCUGUACUUUGUAUUAUUUUGAGGGGGAAAGUCGAAUGACUGAUUGGUAUGCCGUUUUUGCUCAUAAUUACGAAACUACCAAACGGAACUGCUGUGAUGAGAGCAAAAGUUCUUGGUGGCAGAAACGGAACGGGGAAGUUUAGGAAAUCGAGGGCAGACGGAUAAAAUCACGCGGGAGGUCAACAGUCAACCCCUACGGAUUAACUGGUGUGAAGUGGGGAGUAUCAUAUGAGCAACUUCAUGGUAAAUUAUUUUUAAUUAGAUUACCCUUUUCAUGGUUAGUUUUUUAAUCUAACUAAAUAUUUUAGGUUAAUAAUGAAUGGAAAAUAAAUUGAUUAAUACAUGAAUUUAUUAUAUUCAAAAACAUUUUUAAAAAAAUAUGUUUCUCUUAAUGCAAUUGUGUAUUAAUUGCUUUAUUAUUCACAAAUCCAACUAGGAUAAAUAAACCAUUAUUGAGUGUUAUUCUAGGUUAAUGAUGAGUGGGUAAUAAAUUGAUUAAUACAUAACUUUGUUAUGUUCAAAAACAAUUUUUAAAUAAUAUUUUUUGUUAAUCCAUAUGUGUAUUGGUUAUUUUAUUAUUUAUAAAAUCCAUCCAAAAUAUAUGAACCAUCAUUAAGCAUUAUCUUAAGUUAAUGGCAAGUGGGUAAUAAAUUGAUUAAUACAUUCAAAAUAUUUUUAAAAAUAUCAUGUUUUUUCUUAUGAUUAUUUCUAAAAAUAAAAAACAUAUAAUAACAAAAGUUUUAUUUUCUUGUGAAUCUGGACCUGUGGUCCAAGAAUGCCCUCAACAACACCUUCUUGAUCUACUUUUUUAGUUAUCCAAUAAAUCAUCUUCAAGAAGCAAAGUCACUUGUAAUGACAAUAUUGUUUUAAGAUUAUAAAAUUUAAAUAUUUAUAAAAUCUUAAUGUUAUUUUUUAAUUGUAAAUAUUUAUUUUUUAUUUGAAUUCUCUAUGUUCAUAUUGAUAAGUGUGUGAUUUUAGUCUCAUGUUCUUUCUUUUUAGAUAACCUUUGAUGUGGAGAGCAAAUACAGGCUGGAUUGGUAAUCUUGAACAGUUUUAUUCAUAUUAUUUUAUAACUAUCCCCGCAGUUCCAACACCUAUUUCAAAGGUGAGAAAUGAGUUUUGUUACCAAGUCUAGGUCAUAAAAUCAUUGUCUUAGAUCAUGAUAGUAUUUUAUCUUUAAUAACAAAUACAUAUACUAAUUGAGGCAAACUAUUAGCAUAUAAGAACAUGAUAUAUAAGAUGAUUGUUAUUUUUUCUAAUACAUAAUCGACCUCUUAUUUAAAAUCUCUAAAAAAACAAUAAGAAUUUCCUAGUUACCAUAAAAUUAAGUGAUGAUUUUUUUUAUUUUUACUUAUUUUUACAUGUGUUCACCUUGAUAUUGGUAGCGACAAGGAGAAUAGAUAAAGUGAUGAACACCCACCCUACAAUUCAAAAAAUAAACUAAUUAAUUUUCAUAUUGGUAUUCUUUUUUAACGAAUGACACAUGUGAAUUUUUCAUUUCUUCUAAUUAAAAGGUUCAAUAAUCCUUAAUAAUGUAGAAUCAUUUGAGAUGUAUCUGAAUCACCCUUGAUGAAAGUUAAUAUGUAAUAAGAGGUUAAAUAUGAAGAAAAUUAAUAUGAUCAUUAAAAUGUAUUUUUUGCGAAGAGGUCAUGGGUUUUAUUCUUUUAUAUAUAUAUAUAUAUAUAUAUAUAUAUAUAUAUAUAUAUAUAUAUAGAGAGAGAGAGAGAGAGAGAGAGAGAGAGAGAUGGUGAGAUCAUAAAUUUUGAAAGCAGAAGUGCAUAAAUAUAAAACUAAGAUAAAUGUAAAAUAAUAUAAGAUUGAGUAUAUGGACCUAAUUGUAACGCUCUUUUUGGAGAUAUAAUAUGGUUCAGUGUCAAAACCUUUCAUUUAGAGAGAUAAAAAAAAUAAAUAACUAAAUAAAAACUAGGAUGUUGAAGGCCUCAAACAUUUUCAAGGACAUGACAACGUACCAAUUAUAGUAUAACUUGCACUUAGUCUUGGGUGGAAAAUUAAAAAGCAAUGUUUCUUUAUGAUAAGAAUGAGGAUUGAGUCUUUUUCUCGACCAAGCUUGAAUUUUGUUCAAGUAGUUUAAACCUUAAUAAACGAACUCAUCAGUUAGCCAUGCUUAAACUUAGUAAAUAACAUGACUUGUAGGAUGAAAUUUUUGUAGGUUAGAAGCAAUCAUAGUAGGUUACAUCGUGUAUAAGUAUUUAAAUGAAGAUUAUUACAUAACCAACUUUUAAACUAAGAAUCACAUUACAAUAGUUUAUAGGUAUCCUUAUUUUCUCUAAUAAUUUUUUUUCUCUUUCAUAUAGCCUUGUUUUUUAGCUAAAUAUAAACUAUGACAAUAAAAAAAAAACUUGAUUGUUGAUCUUUUAUUAAUUUUUUAUUUGAGUGUCUCACCUUUAGUUUUAUAUAUUUAUAUUACUAACUUUUAUUCUUUUAUUUUUUAUUUAGCACCGACUACUAGGUUAAUCUAUCUUUUAGAUGUUAAUAUGUUCAUUAAUUAUCUGAUGACAUGGAAAAACAAAUUCAUGAUGUCUCAAAGCUAAGUUUUCUGAUAAAGCUUUUAAGGAUAAAUAAAAAAAACAAUUAUAGAUAUAUUUGUAAUUGCAAUAUAGUUUUUUAGUGUAACUAAUAUGUAUAUAUGUAGGCCGAGAGAAAUCAAUAUAUAUGAGUGAUUGAAGCAAUUCUUUUAAAAACCCAAAAAGUUAACUUGGUAGCAUAUAUAACUCUUUGGCACACCUUUUAACCUCAUCUCUAACCUCUCAUUCUUUUACUCUAUCAAUUUAAAACUCACACUAGUUAUGUCUCAAACACGACACUGUUUUUUUUAUAUCAAAUUACUCUUUCCAAUUGUCUCAUUUGGUAAACCUAAUUCACACUCAUCUUGAAUUGUUAUUAGUUUAUAGACCAUGUUGAAGGAUUAAAACAUGCUCCACUGUAAUAUAUUCAUAAUAAUAUAGCCAAUUGGUUGAAGAAUAAUCUAAUUUACAUUAUCUUAUUUCAACAUGAUUGGAUGGUAUUAAGUUGGAUUAUUUCUUUCCUCGGCAAGGAUACAUUUCUAUAUGUGUUAGGAUUAAUAACCAUAUAUGAUAUAUAAAGGUGUUAGUCAAUGCUUUUGGUUUUAUGUUAUGUGGAAAGAAAAUUUAAAUCCACAUUGCUUUAAGAGCCCAAUAAUGAAAAUAAAAGUAUGACUUAAUUUAUGAAAAAAGUAAAACUGUUUGUUGGCAAGUUAGUUCCUUCUGGAAAACCUCUCUCCUUUAAAAGAGUUGAAUGCUAGUAUUUUUAAACUGCUGGACACUAAUAUCAUAUCAUUACUACUCUCAAUGUUUAACUUGAUCCUGUAAAUUUCCAUGAUUUUUCUAUUCAUUUUUGCUCUCAUGAGCUUUCGCUUACUAGCACCAAGGUUUCAAUCUAACCCAUAGCCAAUAUGUCCAAACAUAUUGUUCAAGGUUCCAAGCUAUUCACAAACACUAUGCAGUCAUAUUCAUAGAAAGUUUUGAUAAAACUUUUUAGAAGAUGAAUAAAUUUUGUUGAAUAAUACAUAAAUUCCAAAGAUGAAUGAAUUUGACUUAACCUUAAAUCUAUGUUGGAGAGAUAAAUAAAUUUGCCUUGAAAGAUGAAGAGUUUUACUUAAAUAAGUUCAUGAAUAGUUAAAAAAAAUUAUAAGUCUUUUUUAAACUAUGCAUGAAUUAGCAUUGAAUUACUUUUAAUACUUGUAUGAGAAUGAUGUAGUGAACAUAAUUUGAUGAAUGAAAAGAAUUGUCUUUCUUUAAAAAAAAAAUGAAAGCCUAUGAUUGAAUAUUCUAGGAAUUGCUUCCAAAAGGUUCAAGAGAAGUAUUGAACAUUGAGCCUUUUUGAAAGAUGAAUGAAUUUGGUUGAAUAUUAAACCGAUUUUAAAAGAUGAACGAACUUGGUGACCAUUGAACCUAUGAUGGAUAAAUUUGUUUUGAAAUACAAAGAGUUUCACUCAAAUAAAUUUCUGCAUAGUCUAAAAAAAAUUAAAGUCUUCAAAUUUUUCAUGAACUUAUUAGAAUAAAACUAUUUCUCUUUCAAGGAAAAUCCAUUCAUUUCUCAAAUAUAGGUUCAAUGUUCAACCAAAUUCAUUCAUUUUUCAAAAUUGAUUCAAUGUUCCGACCAAAUUCAUUAAUCUUCCAAGAAAGAUCAAUGUUCAACACUUCCCUUUGAAACUUUUGGAAGCAAUCCCUAGAACAUCCAAUUAUUGUAGCUUCCAUAUGUUCUUCACUUCCUUGAAAUUCAAAAUGUUCAAGAUGAGCAAAGUAGAUUUCCUCCUCUAACCAACCAUUCAAAAAAGGAGACUUCACAUCUAGGUAUAGGAUUUCCCAUUUCCAAUGAGAAUUUUAGAAUAACUUUUUACAACCAAUCUUGCUUUUAGCUUCUUUAAAGAUCCAUCGUGAUUCACUUUAAUCCCGUUACACCAAUAAUCUUUUUUCCUUCAAUUCUAUCUAAGCUCCCAAGUUUGAUUUUUCCAAUGAGUUGGAAGACCAAUGAGAAGUCUUAUAGUGUUCGCCCAUGUUAUAGGUGCAAAGGUUUCAAUUUAUUAAUUAUAGGCAUUUGAGAAAAACCUUUUACAACCAAUCUUGCUUUUAGCUUCUUUAAAGAUCCAUCAUGAUUCACUUUAAUCUUGUUACACCAAUGAUCAUUUUGCCUUUAAUUUUAUCUAAGCUCCAAGUUUGAUUCUCCUUAAUCAUAUAGAUUUCUUCUUGCAUUACAAUCUUCAACCAUCGUACUUGUUUGGUUCUAACAUAACACUAUUAUAUCUUUGAUAAAUUUCUUGAAGAGGCUUGGAACCUAUUGCUUAUUUAUUAUCAUCAAUUGCUUAUUCAACAUCGAGAACUUCAAAUACGACAUAAUUAUCUUUAAUCUUAAAAGUCUAAACUCUUUCUAAAUUUAUUUAUUUUCCCUAUUUUCAGGUGGGUUUUUCAUCAAAUAGUAUAUCUCUACUAAUAAAGAUAUUCUUAGUUAUCAGGUUAUAGAGUUUAUAACCCUUAACUUGACUGUUAUCUUGAUAAACUUAGUUUUUUUUAGCUUUUCAUCAAGCUUACUCUUCCUCACUUUAGAUAUGUUAGCAUAAAAAAUACAAAUACUCUUACAUAUUUAAGUAUUGAUUUCAUUCCAUUCCAAACUUCAAUUCGAGUUAUAUCUUUUAGUACUUUUGUCGACUAUUUGUUGAUCAAAUACAUAGUUAUGUUUGUAGCUUCAGCACACAAAUACUUGGGCAUAUUCUUCUCAGCUAACCUAUGUCUUUUAUUGUUAAUUGUUCCAUUAACUAGCGCUUUGCCACUGGUAGAAUUAUUAUUUUUUAAUAUAUAAAAAAAAUAUCAAGAUUGUGGGAGAUUUUUAAGUAAUAUCAUUAAAUCCAACAACUUGGACGAUCAAUAACAAUAUAGUUUAAAUUUUAAAAAAAAUGCAAGAUGACAAAAAAUCCUUAUAAAAGGCAAAUCAAAACCAAUUAAUUGUAAAUUAACCAAAUAAAACAUAUCAAGAAAAUCAAUUCAAAAUUAACCAAAUGUUUAAAAAAAUCAGUAUGACAUAAUAUAUAUAUAUAUAUAUAUAUAUAUAUAUAUAUAUAGACGAAAUCAUAUUUGAUUGACCUAAGCUUUAUGGCCUAUCCUGUCAAGCCCACGAUUUGGGUUAUGGAAUCCAUUGGGUUUAAUAUUUUUUAACUUUUUUUUAAUCUAAAUAUAGGAUAAAAGGCUAAAGGAUGAAGCUGGAAGAAAACAAAAUAAAGGAAAGGAAAUUAGCAGGAUGACUUUAUUUUCUGAAAAAAAUAUUAACACGGUGACAUAUUGAAGCAGCAUGGGUCAACUCAGGCUAACUUGUUAAACUCAUGACUCAAAUCAUAAAACCAUGACAAUCAUGUAAAAAUAAAUUUUGAACAAAUUAAUCCCACAAGAAAACAAACAAAACACGUCGAUGGUUGAAGUUUGUUUUCAAUAUGGCAUAUAUAUAUAUAUAUAUAUAUAUAUAUAUAUAUAUAUAUAUAUAUUGAAAUGACAACAUAUUAGAUCAACCUAGAUAUUAUGGUUUAUCCUAUUAAAUUUGCGACUUGGGUCAGGGCUCAACCGGGUUUAAUAGAAAAAAUUUUAAAUUUAUUUUUUACCUGAAUAUAAAAUAACAAAAUUAAAAAAAAAUGAAAAGAGCCAAGUACACCCGGGUCUUUAAAAAAGUAUCAAGGUUCGUGGCCCUUCUAACCUAGGCCCACAUGUUUGGGUUUGGUUUUAUUUUUAUUUUUGUAUCUUUGUAAGAAAUGAUUAUUUAUCAACAGAAAAUUAGGAGGACCAAACUGAACUUUUUGUAUGAAAUUCAAAGUUGCCGCCUAUUUCCUCCUUUUUUCACAUUGAUCAUUUGUCAUUCAAUUUAACCCUCUCUUAAAGAAUAAGAAGCAGUUGGGUUUCAAUUUGGGCUAAGAAAAUGCAAUUGAGGAAAAGAAAGUUUGCGGACCAAAAUAAAAAUUCCAAGAAAGUGAAUUUUUCUAGUCCAUAAUGAAAUGUGAGACAAUACAUAUUUAAACAUGCACGGUGAAAUGUCCAUACCUCUUAGUUUAUUUUGUAAUUUUGACUUGUGUUAUUGAAAAUAAAUGAUAAAAUGUAAAGUUACAAAUAUAUCCCCAACCUAUAUAUGUGACAACAAAUCAAUCCUAAGAAAUUCCAUAGUUCGCCUGACAUAGUUUCUCCUAUGAAACCAUAUACUGGAGAUUGCUAAAAUUAAUAUUUACAAGACAAUGCUUAGAGGUAAAAUCCUGAAUUUUCCUUUAAAUAUGUGUUAAUUUAAGUAUGUGAGAUAUAUAAAGGAUAUAGUAGCUUAAAUGUAAACGUUGUAAAAAAUAUGUAAAAACAAAGGAAAUAAAUAUAAAAGAUAGAUUGAUAAAUUUACCCCAAAGAAAAAACAACUUGAAAAAUUUUGAGCAACGAACAAAAAUGGCAAUGUGGAGAUACGAAGGCAUUAGCGAGUGCAAUUUGGUAAUAAUGGCUAGUUAAACAAACCUUUGAUGCAUACAUGUUACUGGACAUAAACCUACCAUAAACACCUUCAUUUGUUGAGAGCAAGGAAGCUUACAUAACAUACAACCUAAUACAAUACUCCUACAACAAACAUGGUUAAAAGGAUGAGUCUUUAAUUUGUGAUUUUGCAUGAUUUUGGGCCAUAGAAGACAGAAAUAGAAACAAUACCAACAGCUAACAUUCAUAGAACAUUACCAAUGGAAUCAUGGAUGGUAAUUGCACUUUAGAAAACUUAUCAUCAGUGAUUUUAAUUUUGUUAAUAACUUCAUCGGUAAUAAAAUCAUUAAUAGAGUUUUAGAUGGGAAAAACGAACAAAAAUAAUCUUUCAGCAUCAUUCUAUUGGUAAUGUCAUCGGUGAUUUAUUUCAUAUUAUCGAUGAAAUUAACUCAUCAAUGAUUUACAUACUGGUAGUGGCAUUUAUUGUAAUUUUUUUAACUCUUUGAAACUCUAAGAAAGACUUAAUCUUCUAUGAUUCCAUUUGUAAUGAUCAAUGGUAAUUCAUGUAAUUUUUUUCAACUCUCUGGAAUUUUCUGAUGGACUUAGUUCGUCGGUGAUUCUGUCUGUAAUAGGCAGUAACAUUUCAUGUAAAUUGUUUUCAACUUUCUGGAACUUUUCAAUGGACUUAGUCCGUCGGUAAUCUCGUUAGUAAUGUGUUUAAUACUUUUAAAAAAAAUUAAAAUAAAGAGAGAAAAAUUUAAAGAAAUAAAACUAAAAUAAAAACCUAAUAUUUAUUACAAAUUUAAAAAUCAUUGGUUUGAAUACAAUUCAUCUAGAGGACAAAAGCUAAAGGAAAAAGAGACAAAUCUUCACUAGGACUAGGUGGGCGAGGAGGUGGACCGCUUAUACCACCGAUGUUUGACAACAACUCCAUAUACAAUCACCCAAGUUUGGUCGUCUCAUCACUAAGUUGUUAUGUCUCAACAGUAAGCUAGGUCGUUUGAACUUUCACUUUUUAUCAUACAAUCACCUGGAACUUUGAACAAUGGGAGCUCAAACUCGAUUGGAAGGAACUAACAGUUAAUACAUUAUGUCUCGUCUGCACAUCAUUAACCGUAGUGUUUGAGAUACUAUAAAUCUGAUUUUUAUCUAGUCUACCAGACGAUCCAUCAACCAACUACAAAUCCAAAUCAAGGUUUGGAUAGGUUGAAAGAUCGUCUCCGUAUCUUUCCUACAAUCUAGUGGUAAGUGUAUCCAGAAAAAAAAUAUUAGUCAGAUAAUUUUAAAAAAUAAUAACUUAAGAAAAAAUUGUUAAAAUCCAACUUACCAUGAACUUUUGAGCUUGGUUAUCCACGAGUUGUUGCACCCCUUUUUAACGAUUAUCAUUUCACAUGUGAGUUUCUACAAAAAGCUUCUUCGGUCUUGGUUCGCGUCUAAGAACUGUAGCCUGCAAAAAGAAGUUGUUGUUAGUUAAACAUUUUCAUAUAAAAUAAUAAUUUUAAAAAAUGGAUGUAAUAAAAAAGAAUCUUACCACUCGUUUUCCAUGCAAAACGAACAAUAUGGAUCCACUAGUAUGCAUGGUUAUUAAACCAUAAAUCGCUUUUUUCUGGUUCUUCGUACCGGACUGCGAUCGUCGCGUGAAAUGUUAAGACACCACAUGCUGGAUAUAAGCUUUCCAUACAGCCUUUGAGACAUGCAGAGGUCUAAAACCCCUCCACACAAUCAUAUCUCCCUAUCAUAAAAGACCUCUCUCUUUAGCUUUUUUUUUUUUUUUUUUUUUGCAUCUCAUACCAUAAAUCACUUAACCUAUAUGGUAGAAAUAAAUUAUCGAUUAAGAUUAUGAAAAAUAAAAUUUUAACAUUUGUAUAAAAAAAUAAAAUUUUGAAUUCAAUUUUACCUAGUUGUACCGUGAUUUUUCCAAACCCUUCUAGCAACAGCGUUGUUAGCUCUAUUCUAGUAAAAGUUUUCCUUGCACGUCAAAUUUGUAAAAGCAAUAUGUUCAUUAAAAUUGAAAAAAAUUACUAACCAAGUUAAAAUAAUAAUAAUAAUAAUGAUAAUAAUAAUUAUUAUUAUUAUUAUUAUAACAUUGAACUUUUCAAAUCAUGCAUCAGUCAUAGGUUUCUAUUAAUUAGGAUUUUUGAAAACUUGACUUCACUAAAACAAUUACACUUCUAUCAACAAUUUCAUUGCCGAUGUUAUUGUGCGAGCAACCUCCAUAUUUGUAAACUUGAAAUUCCAUUUCUUAAUUGAAAUUUAUUAUUAAAAAAUUAUUCAUUGUUAUUUAUUUUCAAUCUUGCAAUAAAGGAAAACACACUUACAUUGAGUGGUCGGGCAUCCAUUGAGCAAUAUACUUCCUAGUACAUACAUGUCUCUCUAAAUGAAUACCUCCUCUACAAAUUGGCAUCACACUCAACGAGCCUGCAUCGACAGAGGGUGUAUGUGCAUCAGGUGCUUGAUAAUGGUUAGCACCUAACGACUCAUAGCCUUCAGAAGCGCAACUAGUAGCGCUCAUGUUUGUAUUACUCAUUAAUGACUUUCUCUUUGGCAUCUAAAAAUAAAAUCAUUAAGAAUAAGAAAAUUAAUAAUAUUCCUAUUAUUUUAAAAAAAAUCGAUAGCACCUCUCUUAUACAAGAGACUACUAAAAAUUCAUAUACCUAUAAAUAUACAUCAAUAAAUAAAGUCACAAACUAAUUUAUUUUAUUUAUGACUAAAAUAUUUUUAUAAAUUGAUUAUUUUAUAAGAUGAAAAGUCUAUAGGUACUCAUAUCGGGAACCAUAUAAAUCUAAGAGAUAAUUUGGAUUUAAAUAUAAAUUUGAGAAAGACAUAUACAAUCAUAUUGAAAAAGAAACGAUUUCCUAAGCUGAGUUCAUGAAAUUGCAUUAUUAAUUGUUUUGAACAAUAUAUGCAUACAGAUCUUUUUUCUUGACCAUUUACACAUUUAUAAAUUGGCUGCCAUGAAAUGACCACGAUACUUGAUUGAAAAAAUAAAAGAAAAAAAAUAGAUAUAUUUAAGCACAUUGAGCUCCUUAAAAGCUAAGGUUCAAAACUUCUUUUUACGUGCUAUUCCCAGAAAACCAAUCUGAAACAUAAAAAAGUUUUUUUUUUUACCAAAUGAAAAGAACAAGGUUACUGGGUUUAAGGAAUUGCAGUAAAAUUAAUUUGCACUAAAUUUAAACAUUCCAAUUCUAUAUGAUUAAUUUGCACUAAAUUUAAGCAUUCCUAUUUUAUAUGAUAAUAAUAAAUAAAAAUAAUCAAAUAACAAGAAAUAAAUCCAACCAACAUUCCUAUAUUAUCAAGUUAAGCUCUCAUAAAAAUGUUAACCCUCAUAAACUCAAAAACAUAGCAAAUAAAACCCAAAAAAAAAAGAAUAUGAAAGGCCUUACCAUGGCUGUUGUUGUUUUGUUUUUGUUUUCUUACUAUGUUAAUCCAACUUAGUGAGACUUGCACAACUGCUUGCCAAAAAAAAACAUUAUGAGCAUUAUAAGGCAAAACAAUAAGCUUUGAAAACUCAAAAUGAUAAAAUAUUUACCUAGUAAAGCCAUAGAGGUGUGGUGGAUGAAGGAUGAAAAAGUUAAGAGGAAAAGAAAAUGAGAGAGAAGAGAUUGAUAGAGAAUGAAGAAGAUUUUGACAAAGAGAGAAAAGAGGAUGAAGGAAGAAGACGUUGAGUGAAAGAUAAGAAGAGAGAGAAGAGAUUGCAAAGUGAGUGAAGAAGAAAAGAGAAGAAGAAGCGUUUUCUUAUGAAAUUAAAGAUCUGGUCUUUUAAUUAGGGCUUUUAAAUGAACAAUUAAAUAUUUAUAUUUUUUAAACAUCUAUCAAUAAUUUUAUUGGUAAAUAAAACUUGAAUUUUUCAAUUAAACCUGAAUUGUUUUAAAGACCCCUAAAUUCUCAAAUGAAUUUUCAGUCUGUCAGUAAUUCUAUCUGUAAUGAUUAGUGGAAAAGGCAUAUAAUUUUUCUCAACUCUCUGAGGGGUUUAUUUCUUUGGUAAUUUCAUCUGUAAUGGUCAUUGGCAAAGCCAUGCAAUUUUUUUUAAACUCUUUAAAACUCUUCAAUAGGCUUAAUCCAUUAGUAAUUUUGUUUGUAAUGGUUAAUGGCAAAGUCAUGUAAUUUCAUUUCAACUCUUUGGAACUCUUUAAGAAACUUAGUCUGUCAGUAAUUCAGUUAGUAUUUACAUUCUUAAUGUAAUUCCAUCGGUAUAAAACAAUUUUUACUUAUAAGUGUUCUUGUUUUCUUUAUCCAUCCAGCCUGCAAAUACAGUAAAAUCACAAUAUGAUACAAACCCUAGCGGAACUAAUAGAAUUCGUAAACCCAAGAUCUAUCUGAUACAAGUUUGAGUAUGAAGGUGGGCUUAUCACAAUGGAAGACUUGCUCCAAAGCAACAAGACUAUAAAUCACUAAAUCACAAUGCCUAUUCUUAGAGACGAGCAAAAGAAGUAUAAAAUCACUAACAAAGAUUGGUCAAUUAUUUAAAGAGUUAAAGUUCAAUCAAGAACCAAGAGAGGCAAUAUUUUUAUUCUGCAAAAAAAAAAUUGUUCUUUAAAUAUUCUUCACAAACAUUACUUAUACUAUAAAGUUAAGUAACCAUAGUAUCCAUAAUGGGUCACAUAUAAACUUGAUUUAAAUAAUACCCAAACCAAACUAAAACUAGCCCAAACUAAUUAAAAUAAAUAAAAUAAACAAGUUUGAAACUCAACAAGUGUUGCCACACAAAACAAAGAUAGAUUAUUAGUCCAACUGAUUAAAAUAAGACAAGUUUGGUCUCUUUUGUAAUAUACUGGCAGCAUCAAUGCCCAACUUCAAAUAAUAGUUCUCUCUUGCCUUAAUGAAUUAGAAGGCGUUCUAUAUAUUAUUAGAAAGGUAUGGAAGUCUAAUUUUCAGACUAACUAGAAUCGCAUCAAACUUCAACAUGUAACUCUAGUUAUUAUUAAAACAGUAGCGAAAGGUCGAACUCUCAAAUUUGAGUCUUACAUUAAAGUCAAUUUCAUUGUAAAUGAACUAGAAAGAUUACAUUAAAGUCAAUUUUAUUACACAUUGAUGUUUUACAAUUUAAUUGAAUUGUCUUCUUCUUCUUCUUCUUCUUCUUCUUCUUCUUCUUUAAUUUCAUCAUCGUCGUGUCCAUCGUAAUUUUCUUCAUUGAAUUGAUGUUAUUGAUGUUCGUCGAUAUCAUCACCUUCAUCAACUUUUGUAUGUCCACUGGAUCAUUUAACUCAUCAACGUCAACAUCAACAAAAAUAUUCUCAGCAACACAAAAAUUUAAAUUUUCUUCUAAGUCGUUAGACAGAAUAACUCGAUAUGCAUCAAUUAAUUCAUCAAUUUGAUUGAUAUUAUCUCUUAUAUUUACUUUAUCAUUACCUUCCUGAAUAACUUGGACACGACCCUUGGGUGUGGUUUUCACUAUAGAUAAUCAAUCAACCCUAGAACGAUCUUUUCUAAACAAAUAAGUGUAUGUGUAAUAAACUUGUUGGCAUUGCUUAGCAAAAACAAAGACAUAGUCGACAUUGCGAAGUCUAGCCUUUGUAUUAAUUUCGACCAAACCAUGGUGAUGGUGUACUUUAAUCCAUCUAUCGGUGGUAUCAUACCAAUAGCAUUUGAAUAAAAAAAAAACUUUAUUAAGCUUGUUAUGAUAUUGUAAUUCAAUAACCUCUUCAAACUUUCCAUAAUAAUCAACUUCAAACUUAUUAGAAGUUAAUCUCUUAACACAAAUUCCACUAUUAUAGGUCUUUUUAUACUGACCAUACUCUUCAGUAUGAAAGACAUAUUCAUUAAAUAAAUACUCGUUAUAACACUUGGCCUUUCUUUCACGACCAAAACAUAAUAAAUUCAAAUUAUCACCAGCAUCCCUCUCAUUUAAUAAACUUGGUACAUGAUUAGAACCAUUAAUAGUACAAGAGAAAGGUUUAAUGAAAUUAAUUAUUAUGAGAUAUAAGAAUUAUUUAGCGGUCCUUACAUGUGUUUUAAACCACGUUGCAAAAACUUCUUCUUACCAGAUUGAAAACCAAACACAAUGCUUUUGUGAAAUUAGACCAUAUCAUACAAUUCUUCAACCAACGGUAACAGCGGUGCAACAUCUCUUUCAACUUUACCUACAAAGAAGUCCUCUCUUCUUUUUCUAUAAUUAUGAUUGAUUGGCAAAACCAUCGAUAGCAAUAAAAAAAAAAGAUAUUUUACCACCAUUUGUUAAGGUAAAGGCCUUGUUAUUUUCCAUACAAUAUAGACAUGUUAAUUUCCAUGCGUGCUCCAGCCAGAAACCAUCACAUACACCGGAAAAUCAUUGAUAGUCCAUAACAAAGCUACCUUCACUUGAAAAUUUUGUUUCCUCAAUACAUCAUACGUCAAAGUCAUAGAUGACCACAAUGACUUCAACUCAUUAAUCAAAGAUUGAAAACAAAUAUACAUAUAUAUAUAUAUAUAUAUAUAUAUAUGGAUUAUUAGAAUCGAGUAUGACCAUAUAGAAGAACAUGAACUUUAGCCUCAUGCACAUCUCUUGUGGCAAGUUGUAAACCGUGAGUAUCACCGGCCAACAAGAAUAUGGUGCAACAAAUUACCUGAACAGAUUGAAUAUGUAUGUACAUAACCCAAUAUGUAUGUUAUAUAGUUCCAUUAAAAACUGAAAAUGUAUCCUAUUAAAAUAUUUUCAGGCUACACCAUCGAAAAGGUGCAUUAUUACUCAGUUCAUCGUAUCAUGUGAAUGAUGUCAUGUCAUAUGCUCAGAAAUCAUCAGAGACAUGAAUAACCUUUACAAUCCAGGAGUGAUUGAGAAGUAUCUCAUUUUUCUUUGUAUAACAAGAUUUUUUCCCCUGUCAGUUCUAGGUUUAUACUGAGCAUGCCCAUAGGUUCUGCACUUGGUCAAAUAUGUAUUUUUUAGGUAGUACAACAUGCAGAGGUUUGGACACAUGUUAAUUUUCUGGUAUCCUAGGCCAAAGGGUUUUAUCAUGGAUUUAGCAGCAUGAAAGUUCUCUUUCAGUCUAUACCCUUCAAGUAAAAUGCUUCUCGCCCAUUUGAUGAUUAUAUCAUAACUGGCCUUAUUCAGCUUAUAAUCUGACUUAAUGGUGAACACCGGUGCAACAACCAAUGAUUUACUAUGAUUUAUGCAUCCAUCUCAUAAUGGGUCGUCAGAAUCUUUCAAAAUAUCAAAAAACAUGGUUGUGGUUGUAUUUGGUUCUUCAUUUACGAUUGAACAUUCACCUACAUCACCUUAAUUCAUUUGCAUUGCAUCCAUAAUCAUAUUCUUAUAAUAAUUACUAUUAUCAUCUACAACUCUAUGCAUGUUAUUAGAACUAGAAGUUGACUUAAUAACCCUUUCUAACAUAGUCUUAUAAGGAACAUAUAGUUCCUCGUGUGCAAACCAACACAAGUAUUUAUUCAUGAACCUUUUUUGUAAAAAAUACAUCGUAACAACAUCUAGAUGAAGAAACUUUUUAUUUUUACACCUCUUACAUGUACAUCUAAUACUGCCUCCACUAAUAUUUUUCGAAUUAGAUAAUGUGUGUUUAAUAAAAUCCUCAACCCCAUUACGAUAACCAAUCUUGUGCAACCCUUCGAAUGAAAUUCGACACAUCCAAGAACGAUCAUCUAUUACUUAUAUGAAACCUAUAUAAAAUAUUAAUGACAACAUGUUUUAAUUAAUAAUAUGAACUAAACAAAUUAUCAGUAGCAAUUAUUAGUUUAACUCAAACUUAUUCAAUCUAUUUUUAUAGUACCCUUAAAUCAUUAACAAUUUUCUACAAAAAAAUCAAAUUCCUCCACAUUUAUCAAAAUUUUCAACUUGACAAUAAAAUUGAUAAAAUAUUAAACAUACCCAUUAAAUAAGACAUUAUUUAUUUUAUUACAAAACACCUAAAUCACAUAAUCAAGCUCAAUUUCAUCAAAUUACAAACAAAUAUAAUUUUUUAAAAUCUCAAACAAACUCUACAUUCAUAAAUAAUGCAUUUAUACAACAAAUAUCCAUAGAAAAAAGCUACAAAACAAGUAAACACAUACAUGCUACAUAAAAAUGCUAAAAAAUUAACAUUUUCAAAAUGGACUACAACAAAAAAUGGGUGGUUUUACUUACUUGGUGUAGCAACUUUUAAAAAACAAAUUGAACCAUAACAAGGAUGCUGACACAUUGAGUAUUAGGAUGACUAGAUUUGUGAUGAUGAAAGCUUGAUUUGUGAUGAUAAAAGUUUGAUUUGUAAUAAAAUAUGGGGUUGAUGUGUGUUGUUUUCUGCAUCAUAAUAAUAAUAAAAAAAAAAUUGGGAGGAGAUAAGGGUUUGGUUGUCAUAUUAUCAACUAAUAGAUAUUAGUAAGAGAUAUAUUUUGCCUUAAUUUCAUCAAUAGUAAUGACAUGUCCUUUCUCUGUCUUUCUUUUCAUUCUUUCAUUUUCAAUUAUAUAUAAUUAUCUUAAUAUUUAAUAUACACUCUUAGAAACUUUCUGUUAAUAAACACCAAUGAACAUAGCAAAGAAAUAUUCCGUAGGUAAACAUCACCGUAACGUAAACUACAGAAGAGUUUUGUUUUGUUUGAUAAUUUGCUGAUGGUUGAAGAGAUACACAAAAGGAGUCCAGGCUAGCAAAUAAUAAAAGAAGAGAAGUGGGGCAUGAUGGGGCAGCUGUCUCCGACAUCUUUGACGGGAAAGCAUCAUCAUCCAUCCAACCCUAACCAGGGAACCCCACACUCUCUCUCUCUCUCUCUCUCUCUAAAACCCUACACAGUGCGUCUGUCAUAUUAUUGGGUAUAGUAGGCAUCACCGUAUUUUUAGUUUUCUUUUUCUUUUUCUUUCUAUGAAUUGAAGAGGCAGCAAACAGACUAUACGAUGCUUUCUUUCUCGCACAAGAGUAUAGACUAGCAAGCAGUGUACUUUCUUUCUUUCUUUCUCUCGUGUAGGCGCAGGGAGAAGCUACAGAGGUGUGGGUGAGUGUGCGAGUGACUGACUCAUACACAUGCAUGUCUCGCAGCUUUACUUCCUUCGCACUUUCUUGCUGGCCCCAUUGCCUGCUCUCUUUUUUGAGAAAUUGUUGCGCUGCCAAUUAAUUAUAAAAUCUUAUAAAUUAUUAAAUUUAUUCAGAUCAUUAAUUCUAUAAAUUAUAUUUAUAAUGUUUUUUUUGUUGGUACAACAUAAAUAUUAUGUAAUCCACCAGUUAUAAUGUGAAUAAAAUAAUAAAUAUUUUGUUGGUACACUCAUGAUCAUCAUCGUCUCGCUUCUAUCCUUCUCAAGUUCUCUUAUAUCCAUCUGUGUUUUUUCCUUGGGAUCCUCUAACAGCGUAUUAUCAUGACUAUUAUUAUUAAACUUGGUUUACCCUGAUGGAUUAAUUUAGAAUCAAGUUAGUUUAAGAUAUUAUCUAGAUUUAUUUUUAAAUUAAAUUAGAUAAGAGUUAAUUCAAUUAAAUAUGAUUAAUUUGAUAGACUAAUUUGGUCCGAUAAAAACCUAAUAUGAUUUAAAAAUAAUAAAAUUGAAAUAAUAUUUUUUUAAAUUAAUUAAUUCAAGUUAAUAUACAUAAAAAGCUUUAAAUCAAGCUAGACUUUGCUCAAGACAACGUUCCCUUCUUGGAAGAUGGGGAGAUAAAGGCCAUUGGGCUAGUAUCCAAAAUGGCCCUUUAAAUCUUUGGGGUUUUUCUUAAACACUUGUGACCUAGCGUGAUAAGAGUUUGUCCAUCUCGGGGAAGUUUUUAAAUCAACACAAUGAAUUAAAAAUAUUGGUGAAAUAGCAUGAUUUGAAAAGAAAUUAGUAAAAUUGCACAAUCUAUAUAUAUCGCAAUUGAAAAACAUAAUAUUUAUAAUUUGUUAUUAUUUAGAAUAGCAAUAUUUUAAAAUAUAUAUAUAUAUAUAUAUAUAUAUAUAAAAUAGACGAGAGAAGAGAUAAAAAAAAAAAAUAGAUUUUGGAUGUACACCAAAGUUCUGAUUAGAAUACUACUACUACUAUUAAAAAGAUUUUGACGAGACAAAAUCAAUAACACCAAGAAAGGUUUCUAAUGGUAACCCAAGUGAACCACACUUGCCUCAAAAAACAAGUGAGUUACCCGUUACCUUUGAGCAACAAAUAUAGCACACUUGAGUUACCAUUUAUAACUUUUCUUUCUAUCUUUGGAUUUAUCUCGUCGAGAUUUUUUCGACAAUAUUGAUGAUGUCGUAAUCAAAGUUUCAGUAGGAUCUCGUAAUCAGAGUUUCAGUUGGCUUUCGAGAUAUAUUUCUUUUUUUCUCUUUCUCCUAUCUAUUUCAUAAUUUAUUUUUAAAAAUUACUAUUCUUAAUAGCAACAAGUUAUAAAUAUCAUGUUUUUUAAUAGAAACAUAUAUUAACUAUAUUAUUUUAUCAAUAUAUAUUACAUGUAUUAUUUUGUCAAUUCUUUUUCGAACUUAUAUUAUUUACCCAAUAUUUCUAUAUAUAAAAAAAAAAAGAAUCGCUAGUCAACAAAAAUAGCCACCUUUGGGGCAGAUUCUUCCAGAUAGUACCCUUGAGAUUCUAACCUUUGUGGCUCCAUGAACUUGUGUUAAUUAUUUCACCUAUUGGCCAUUGGAUCGAUAUGGUGUGACUUAUCCCAACCAUUUUGCUGUCCACAUUGGUUGGCAAUUGGACACUCAAAUCUUCAAAAGCCUCAUUAACAAUGGGCUGAAGAUGCAGUAGUGAGUCUAGCUUUCCCACCCUAACGUAAUAAGAGAAACAAGAAAACGCUUGGACUCCUACAACAAAAAAACGGAUAAAAGAAGGGGGCAAGAACAGCAGGAGAUUCCAGCAAAAACAAGAAAAAUUGCUCUAGAGAGUAGAGAUGCUUGAAUCGACAUUAUCAGACUAGUUAUCAACACAAGAUGUUAACGAUGGAUAGAUAUCAUUAAGUAGUUAACCUAAUCUAAAGCAUUUAAACACUGGAAAUGGUGCUCUAAAGACAGGCACCAAAUUAGCAACCAAGUGCUCCUGCUUUCCCAAAAAUGAGAUGAGAUUUAACAUCAGACCUUGCCCUUCCUGUUCUUCUAGAAAACAGUGUGCAUACCAAAAACCCUCAAAGCAAACGAGAUGAGUUUAACUUGUACAACAUAAACUGUUCUACUAGCACAUGUCUUCAUGAUAAAGAUGAAGUCCAAGACCAAAGCGUGCACAGGCUCUACGAAAUGCCAUUGCUUCUGCCUUUUGCACAGGAUCUCCAAAACCUAUCUCAUCCAAUGCAGCAGUUCCGGUCGACUCCCUGUAUAGCUGGUGGAAUUAAAAAGGAGAGAGUUAACAGGAGAUCACUGUUAGCAAUUCUCUUCAAUUCACGCAACUGAACUCAAUGGAAAUAUAACUAUUAGUAGUGUGGGUAAAAGAUGGCUUUCAGAAGGAGAUAAAUUUUAUAAAUUCUCGAGAUGCAUAUAAAAGUUGGACAAAAGCGGGUCAUGGUUGAUUAAAGGAUCAUGUAAAGAAACCCACUUAAGUAGACAUCUAAACAUUUUAGCGAUUGUUGCAAUACCAUUUUACCAGAUAUCAGGAGAGGGGGGGAGGAAAAUGCAGUAAAAAUAUAACAAAGAAAUAUACAUAUUUUACAAUUUCUUACCUUCCCCAUCAUGUAAAAUUGGUUUUAUCUUCAAUUGAAACAUAAUAACAAUCAACUUACCAAUCAGUGAACAUCUUCCUAAGUCUCACUAUUCAUAAUAGUUAAAAAUUGCCUAAUAAAGCAUCUCCUAUAGCAGAAACCUUUGUGCUCCAUAUUUCAGUAAAUAACAGCGCGCAAAUUAGAUAUUUAUUCCAAAAAUUAAGUGAAACGAACCUCACAUUUCAUAGCAAAUCAGCUACAAUUUUUCGUGACUACUAACAACUACAUCAAUGUUCCAAAGUACCAAUCUAGCCGCCAACAAUCUGAAAGGCUGAAACUAUUUUUACUUUCACUUUUAUUUUAUUUGUUUUCCCUAUUUUUACUUUUAAAGAUUUUUUUUUUUUGUAAGAUAUGUUAAGCUUCAUUCAUUAAAUUGAAAUCUGUAGUCUGCCUCAAACCCUAUCUUCAGUUAGCACGCUAUUCAAUCAACAAGGACAGUUGCUCAAGUUGGAAACACAGCAGAUGUAUAGCAUUCCACGUAAAGAAGGCAAAUUACCAAAUCUCAACUUUCAGAAUUUCUCUAGAAAUUCAACUUCAGUUAACAAAAGGUACUAUACCUUAACUGGAAAAGUAUAUCUCAGACAUGGAGUUUUAGACCCCAAAAUUUCUAAUGUUGUUCUUUAUUUUUUACUCCUUCACCAAACCGUUAGGUUCUGUUAAGAAUAAGCCACUUUUGAAAAACAUCAAGCUGAAGAACUAAGAAGAUCAAUAAGAGAAAUCUCCCAUGUCAUGAGCUGUCCUAUUAGCUGUGUUGUCUACUCUUUCAUCAGAGAAAUGCAGCGUCAAUGGAGUUCUUAACACUCAAGACUUUAUUUUCUCAAGGACACAUUUUGCCUACCUUAGUUGAAAAGGCCCCCCCUUACCUCUCAAGCAAAAAAUAUGAAAUAAGAUCACCUCAAGUAAAAAGUAUCAACCAGUCUGCUCAGGAAUGCACAUCUUCUUGCUCUCAAUUUUAUUAGCCUUAUAUGCCUUUCACAACUACUCCCUCUGGUUUAGGCAUCAGAGUUCGAUUAAGACACGACUACAACAUGCCAAAAGAUUAUGACCAUAUAUUAAGCAAUCUUUCCAGGGAACCAUUAAAGUCAAUGUAUCAUGUCAUGAUUUCCAACUCCAGAGCCAGAAAGUAGUGAUAAGGCAAGUGUGAGGCAUCACAACUCAAGAAAUCAGUCAGCCUAUGCUGGCCAUGAGAAAAUGGCUAUAGAAAUUGAGCAUACCAUACACUAAAAACCACAAACAAAACGUGGGUAAAGCAAGAAAGAUACCUCAGCAUCAGUCCCAUAAAGAGUGACACGGUAAACAACAGAUACAGACUUGCUAUCAGGUGAAUAAGUGAUGUUCCGAACCUCACCAGACCAUUCUGUAUUAGGUAAAGAAAGUAAAUGUUAGGCUUGGAUAUCAAGUUAAAGUAUAAUCAUUAGUAAAAAACUUGUGUGAUGUGUGGAUUAACUCUUAGCAUACCUGGAGCAUGUAAAUUCAUAAUCCUGUUAACAAGAUGCCUAAUAAAAACAAUAGAAAACAACAUAAAUAAAAAUAAAAUCAGCCAAUAGCCUUCUAAAUCAUUAUAAUUAGAGAUUGUUUCUUUUUUGUUUUUUCAAAUUGAUUUUCAGCUGAAAAAAUAUAAAUUAAUAUUUUUUAUAUUUUUUGUAAUUUUAAUAAACUGAUAUAAAAAAUAAAAAAAAAUUCAAUUUUCAAUUAAAAAUAUAUUAAAAUAACAUUUUUUUUAUCUUUUAUAAUAACAAUUCAAAAACAAAAACAAAAAAUUAAACAAAAAAAACAAGACCUCGCCGCAAUACCUACCAAACAGGGCCUUGGAUUCUGCUCAAGAAAAGUCAAAAUGAGAUUGUACGAUUAAAAGACUUUUUUCAUCUUUAUACAUCAUAAGCCUAAAAACCCCAUUUUUUUUUCAGGAAAAAAAAGUUGAAAUCAAAACAUAUGGGUGCAUAUACAGGUAAAGAGAGGAAGUGAUUACCAAGGGACAUAUUUGAUCGAAAACCCAUUAUCAACACGCUGACUAACAAGAGUAUCAGGGACCUUUUUGUUGAGUUCUUUGAGUAUUUCAGAGAGUGGCCUACUUAUUCCUGAAGUGGGUACAGAAUCGUUUUCAGCGUUGUCAUCGAUGUCACUUAGCUUCUCUGUUGCUGUGUUUUUGUUUCUGGCACCAAAUGCAGAAGACCUGGUAGAGUAGCUGAGAGAAGAUGAGAAAAGGAGUGAUUGUUUCAAAGGAGAGCUGGAUAGUGGGUUUAGCGUAAGGAAUUUCCUCGUAGACAUUGCUGCCAUUUUUUAGCGAGAGAGGGAGACAGGGAGGAAGGACAAAGAUCUGUAGAAACCAAACCCUAUUUUGUAUGUUUUGUUGGAUUCGAGACAGUGCUCUGCUUUUUCUCAGGGGAGUCCUUUGUAUUGUAUGCCUGUAUUGUAUGGGCUUCUUAUGGGUUUUGAAAUUGAUUGAUUUUUGGAAAACUACAUCGUUUUCUUAGUUUUUCUCCCACUCUUCAAGCAUUUCUCAUUUUGUGUUAUGUCUAUUCAUUUGUUUUUAAAUUAAUAGAUUUUUAUCAUAGUUUACUCAUUAAAUUGCAUUUGAUUAAUGUUUGACGAUUAAAAACAAAUAUAAAAGAAAAAAAAUAUCUGAUUAUAAAAACAAAGAUAAAAAUAUAAAAUCAAUAUAUCUCUAUUAUAAUUUUAAAAUAAUUUUUUUAUUUCAAUAUCUAUAUGAGGUCUCUGAAUGAAGAUCCUAAAAUGUCGCUGCAUCUCACCAGUCUAACCUUAUAUAUCAAGCGACAUUCUUCAAAACGCUUCUUCAGGGACCAUCAAAUCAUUCUCUCCGGCAUAAACCACAAUUUGAGCAUUUGAAAGUACAGCCACAGAUUUGAAUUAUGUUCAUGCACAAAUGUGAGAGAUCUUACCUUAUUAAGUCCAGCAAUAAGAUUUCGAAUGCAUGUUUUUUUGUUUAUUUUUGCAUUACAAAAAUAUUUUUAAAAAAAAUUAAAGUUUUUUUAUUUUCUUUACUUCAAAUUAAUAUUUUUUAGUAUUUUUAAAUUAUUUUAAUGUAUUUAUAUUAAAAAUAAUUUUAAAAAAUAUAUAUUAUUUUAAUAUAUUUAUGCAUAAAAAACACUUUAAAAAAGAAUACAAACAUAAAAUAAACAGCAUUGGAGGACCUUCAAGGGAUCCACCGCUAAACUUCCCUCCAUUACAUAGUAGACAAAUGUAGUUUGGUUUCUGCAGUUGAAUGAUCGAGAAAGUGACGAGCCUUUUGCCAGUGACUCCCUAUGUCUAAUUCAGGAAUAAGAGCAAAGGUAACUCAUCCAGGCCAGAGUGAGUUGCAACAUAAAUGAACAUUCAGUUAGAGUAUACUGUUAGUUUCAAAAAAAUAUGCAAAAAGAAAGGAAAAAAAAACAAGAAUCUAACUGAGAUAAGCAUAAAAGAGUGAGCCUUUCAGAAAAGUUUUGAAUGAAACCUUGCUAGCUAUCUUGAACACGGAACUGGUUGCUUUAAAAUGUGGUUGCUAUCUUCUUCGGAUUUGAACUCUUUGAAGGAAAUUCUGUCACCUGAAACUCUUCAAAAUUGCUUUCCUGUACAAUAAACAAAUUUAAUAUGACACGAAAACCAUUGUCGCACACCACUUGCUAAAUGAUCAAAAGUUCAUCCUCGAAUUCUGGAUUUUAUUAGUUUGGUCCGAGUCUCAUAAAUCUCAGGGUUAUUAAAGACUUACAUUGUCAUUAAUUUCAGGGCCCGUGAAAUUAAUCGAGAUACGUAACCCGGAGAUCCACGUUAAUCAUAAAAAAAAAAAAAUUCAUCCAGUCAAACCGACGCAAACAUGCACGCACACAUGAUGGUUUCUAUGUCUCUAUGAUCGUCAAAUCAAGUGAAGGCAAAAGUGGAAGCACAUCCAUUGCUGGGCAUAUAGAUUGUUUUUCAACUAAUCCGCAGCUUUAAAAUUCUAUAAGCAGGCAAUUUGAUUCUCAAAAUAGAAUUAGUUUUUCCUCUUGUUUCAAAAGCGGUGUUGUAUAGAACCUCACAAAUUAAUUCAGAAAACUUUUUCAGCGAUGAUUCCAGGACCAAAAUACUAGCAAUCAACAAUAGAGCAAACCAUCAAAGGCCUAAUUCCUUGAAGGAAUAAAUGAUAUUUUGAAGAAAUUGAUUCGGCAUGUUUUUUGCAAACUUGAAGAGCCAUUACCUUCCAUGGCUAUUUUCAGUUAGAAAUAAAAAAAUUCUCACAUCUUUAUCCAUAAAAGGUGCCAUUUUUCUUGCAGAAUGCUUACUUUGGGAAACAAUUUUAUAUUCCUUAAAUAAAGUGUUGUAUAAGAAUAAACAUAAUUAUAGAAGAAGAAUAAGAAUUAGUCUUUGCAUACAGAUAAAUUCUGCACAAUUCGCUCAAGAGGCAUUUUCAUCUCAUCUCCUUUUCGCACAAGGCAGUGGUUUCAAACCCCAUCUCGGAUGAAACCCCGCCCUACUUUCUGAAUCUACAAGAACCUCAACAGCCCUAGAUAUGAUCUGAUAGGCUAGUUUGGCUGCAACCGAAUAAUCGUUAUCAUCAUCAGGACAGAUCAAUUUCCCCAUUCGACAAAAUCUACUCAAUAUCUUCUCCUCGGGUUCCCAAUAAUAAUCAACCCCAAGCACAUUAUACCAAUUUAUCUCCCCGUAUCUAUUUUUCAGUAGCGUAGCAGCGUGUACUCGGUACGCAGCGACGCAUCUAUGAACACAGCCAUUCCCAAAAGAUGGGUCCACUAACAAAGCAAUCUUGGCCGCAUCAUAGGCCUCUUUGAACUUAUUUUGCAAGAACUCAGACUCGGCAGAAUCCAGCAAUAUUUCCACUACAUUACGCGAAUCUCCAAGAAGUGCCAUUAACGCGUUGGAAAUAAGCUCGUAGGCUCCUCGCGCAGCCGAGGAGGGAUUGUAAUCAGGAUGUACUAGUUUCAAGUUUUCGCAAAAACUAAGAAUGAUCUCUUUGCGUGAUGCCCUGCGAUCUUUGAUCCCAAGAACGCAGUGCCAAUCAGUAUCGCCAGUGAGACUGUUCUUGCAAAGCGAGGACGUGUAGACUCGAUAAACUGCAAGAUGCUUUUCAAUACAGCCAUUGCCAAAAAAUGGGUCGAGGGUUUUAGCGACCAUGGCAGUGUCGUAAGCCGCUCCGAACCUUUUGCCGAGGAACUGUUCCUCGGCGAAACCAAGCAUAAUAUCAGUCAUUUUCACGGCUGUGAUCAGAAUUAGGGUUCCGAAAUCGAGAGGAAGGGAAUGAAUGUGAUGAAAGUGGUCGUUAGGGUUUCUGGAUUUGGACGGAAUUUGUUAGGAACACAGAGAAGUCGUAGAAAGAACGCUGCAAAUUUCGAUUUCGAAAAAUAUCUACUACAUAUUAACGGCUAGGGCGGUCAUAUUAAAAUCUCGCCUCGCGCGCCUUCCGUCUCCUCAGGUUUUAUUUUUGUUAUCUAUUUUUCAAAUUGAAAUAUUUUUUAAAACUACUUAUUUUACAUUUAUUUGUUAAAAAAAUGUUUUUAUAUUUUUUUCCUAUGGAGGUAACACAUUUUAUUUUCAUUAAAAUAGAGGCAAAAAAAUAAUCUAACCGUUAAUUAACUGGUUUUCUCUGAAAUUUCACUCAGUACAAGUUUUAUUGGGUAAAAUUAAUAAUUAAAAACAUCGAGGACUUAAUAUUUUUAAUCUAUUCUCAAAUUUUAAAUAGAUAGGACAGCAUGACUACUUUAUCGAGCUAAGCUACAAAAUCAAAAGUUCUAGGGAGGUUAUUUUUGGUAUAACUUUCACGUGAUUGAUUUUGAAUUACAUGCAUAAAAUUUCAAGAUUUAAGCAUUUUCUACCAAGAAUCUCCACAAUUAUACGUAAAUAUUAUAAUUAAGUUUGGUUAAAAAUAUCAUAUCAAGAUUUAAGUACAUAAUUAAUGUAAAUAAAUGUGUUUUUUUUCAUUUUUAACUAGUGGAGGGAUCUUCCUUAGCAAAUUACUCUCAAUUCUCAAACAAGAUUAUCAAAAGUUAAAUGUUAAAAAUAAAUAAAAAAUAAAAAUAUUUUAAUAUAUUUUCAAAUAAAGAACAUUCACUACAAAAAUACUUUCCAAUUUUAUUCUAUUUAAAGUAUUUAAUAUUGUAAUACUUAAAAAUAUUUUAGUAUAUUUUCAAAUAACAAACAAACACUAGAAAUUUAUUCUUUAAAUAUUAUUUUAUUUAAAGCAUUUAAUACUGAUGCUUAAAAAUAUUUUUAACUUGAAUUAAAAUAAUUUUUUUAUAUUUUUAUUUUUAAUAUCAAAAUCAUCAAAAAAAUAUAUCAAUUUAAUAUUUUUUCCAGUUUCAAACACAUACAGAGUGCAAUACUCAAAUCCAACACGAGGCCACAUCCUGAAUGGACAUCCAACUACGGUUGUUUUUUAUUACCUGAAAAACAAUUGUUGUAAGCAAAAACUGAUCAAUCUGAUUUCUGAUUUGACUAUUUUACAAGGUUACUUACCAAUUGAAACACAAAAUGGAAGGACAAGAAAAACAAGACAGAGUAAAGACCGGCAAAAUCAGAACUGAACAGCAGCAUUCGACAACCAAGCGAAGAGGCAGAAGUCAGCAGUCACAAAUCACAACUGGAAAUCAUAAUAUAAAGCUCCCCUUGAUGGAAAUAUCACAAAUGUUAUACUGAGAGUUUUCAGGCACAAAAGUAUUUAUAUAUCAGAAUCCAUACAUGCAAAAUUGCACCUAUAGCAUGCAAAAAUGUGGGGGCAAUUUAGGGAAAAAAAAAAGAAUUAUAACUCUACUACUAGGGGGCAAAAAAUAUAAUAGAAGGAUUUCAAGGAUUCUGGGGCAAGCCGUAAGAAACCCAGUUUUGAGGAACUGUAGUCUUAUGUACACAAACACGCUCCUCUUCUAAUGAUUCUAGAGUAUAGAAUUUGAAGUGGGUUUUCCAGAAUCUCACCCUCCAAUAAUGCAGUGGACGUAUGAAUUGUGAAUUGGGAUCAGUCUGACCCCAUUUAAUAUCUGUAACCUGAAGAACCAGACUGUGGAGGAGCGGGUGGAAACCGAUUAGGAGUGCGACUAGGAGUGCGACGGCUGCUGGAGUUGGAACCGGUGCUCACAUCACCAUUGCCGUAAUAUCGACUGUGACCAUUUGAUGCAGGUCUUGAUGAGCUUCCAAUGUCUAAAGGACCGUUGGCAGCUGCAUCAAAUGCAGAUCUCCAGUCAUCGCCAGCCGAACCAUUUGUCCUUGGGCUUGGGGUGGUGCUCUCUGCAAUUAGGGUCAUCCAAGAAUUUCAAGGACAUUAAUAACAAUGACAAAUUGAUACCCAUUAUGCGUGUGUGUCAAUUUCCAAGUCGUCAUGCAUGUUCCCUUCUUCCAUAGUUUUAAAUUGCAAUUGUCACAGUUGCAGAUCGCAGACUUCAUGGAUGUUAAAAAACAGUCACAGCUAUCAUUGUGAAUUCAUUAGUCUUAGCAAACUUCUGUAAUACAUGUUGUUCUCAUAGGUCUGCUAAAAAUAGUCAAUAUUAACACUUUUAGAAGGUAAAAACAUAUAACAAUAUAUUAUAACUAUCAAAAAGUCAAAAAAAAAACAUUAACUUGAAAUACAAAAACUAUCAAAAGAUCAAUUUUGUAAGUGUAACGUUAGUGGGCUGUUAUUGACCCGUUUGGAAUCGCCAAUAACAAUACUAUAACACUGAAUAAUGGUAAUGGGUGCUCUGAAUCCAUUAAAUAACUCCCAUUACAUUAUAUAAUGACUAUUAUUUAAAACUAUGCCUCCAUCCAUGCAUGGGUCAGGAAAGUGAAUGAGGAUGGACAAGUAAGAGUGCUACAGUGAGUCCCUAAAAGGAGACAUGAAAAGGUACUAAAACAAGCAGCUAUCAGGGCAGCAAAGUGUUUAACUAGGCAAGGUAGCUAAGGGGUUUAAGGCUCCAGGCAUCAUCAUCAGGACCCUGUAUUUUAACAGCAAAAAACCUUGACUAUGAUCCAUAUGUAUGGCUAAAAAAACACUGAUCUCCUAAAAAUAUGUACUUUGAAUAAAAGUGAUUGAUAAGCAAUCAAAAUUUAUGCUAGAUUGACAGGUCAGGUGCCCUCCAGGUAGAGAAAACACAUUGCAACAUAUAAAGACAACUGCAGCUUCAUCUACUCGUUCAUGAAGAGAAAAACAACUAAUAUGCUAAUCUAAUCUCCUCAGGGUAUCCAAAGUCUCGAACCCAUCAAAUGACAACCACUCUCAUCGCAUUUCUUCUAGUUAUUUUCUUCCUCCAAAUAAUACAGUCAAGGUUAGAGGUAACUUUCUCCCCUUCUAUUAUAAUUGUUGUGUGGAAAGACUUUGGAGCUUUUGAAUAGCACAACCCACAUCUUUCUCACAAAGAAUUGGGAAAAUUUGUUGGCAGACAGCAUUAAAUGGUUUGAAUAAUUUGACCAGUAAGUUCAACAUUUCAAUGUCCAUGUGCCUAUAACCCUUUCUAUCUGAACAACAAUUUUCGACUACAAACCUGCUCCAUCACCACUAGACCAGCUAGAAGCAGCAGCAGCUCGGUUGUCGUGGAUGCUGAGUUGGCGUGUUAGCUUUGAAAGGAGAGAGGACUGUUUCUGGUACCGCUCCCUCCUGCGCUUUACAUUCUGGUCCUCUUGAAGAAGCUCUUCAAUCCUUGCUGUGCUUUGAGCGCUGACCAUAGUCAAAUAUAAAAUUGAUGUUAAAGUUCCCUUAAAAUAGUUUCAGAAAUUUAUGUUUCAACCAUAGGCAGAUUCCUGCAGAACAGGCAUCCAUGUGAACCAUGACAAGAUACUAAAAUAAUCACAUGUAGUGAUCUAACAAAUAGCCAUGUUGCAUGAGCAUCCUAGUAAAGCAAUGAGCAAAAGGCACCAAAUGCAGACAAGGAUAAUGCACCCAACCUGAUAGAGCUAUACAACUGAUUUAGCAUAUCUUCCUUUGCUUUCUCAACUUGGCAAAGAACAACUGCCUGAUUGGUCAAUUACAAAUGUUAUUAAAAGCCUCUCACAAAAGGAAAAAAUAUAAUAGAAUGAUGACCAGCUUACUUUGGGAACAUUAGCAGCUAAGCUAUUCAAAACUGCCUCUACAUAUCCGCGCACUUCUUGGGACAUCCAUCGAAGUUCUUCUUCCGGAUCGGCAGGUCUUCGAGCCAUCGUAUCCUGCACACAAAAGGAUGUUUUUAGGAAUUUUGAAGUCUAACUCAGCAAUGUCCAAGUUUUGUACGUUUAACCUUUAUGCACAUGCAUAUGGGACCAAAACUGCUAGCUGAAAUUUCAGUGAGAAGAUUUCCAGAUACACAAUAAAUAACUAAAACAACCCCUAACAUUGCAAAGAAAACAUUGGAGGUAGCAAGAGAGUUAAUCCAAGGGAGACUCUGUUAAAUAUGCAAAAUAAUGAACUCUAAAAAGUUAGUAACUGCUUUGAAUGCCACAUCACACCACCACUAAUUCCCUAAAAAAUGGUAGAGCAAAAUGCACAGCCUGUAAUCAUACCAAAGAGCCAUCAGAAAGACUAUGCCGCAUUGCAGGACCACCUUCAGGAGAUACACCCCUCAUUUUCCCUCCUUUAGAAGGUUGAGCAAUUUUUAAUAUCUUGUUUAUCCACUCAACUUUGUCAGCCAUGCUCUCAGCCUUCAAAAUAACAGCACUGUGAGCUGCAAGAUAAAAUAUGGUUAAAAGUGUAAUGGUAACUUCAAAAAGAAAUACAAAGUAAGAAAAUCCACCAGAUAAGUAUAUAUAAGAUGCAUACCUUUCAAAACGGUUUUGUAUGGAACCUUGCUGGUCAUCUUAAAUACAAGACUGGGAGCUUUAGUAUCUGGUCCAUUGACUUUCUUAUCCUUUGAACUCUUUGAAGGAGGUUCUUCCUCAUCUGGAACCUCUUCAAUGUUGCAUUCCUGCAAAAUAAAUAGAUCAGAUGGAACAAAUCAUUUGCAUGCACAGCCAUUUAAAUGAUCAUAAUUUAUCCAGUCUUUACCCUGCAAAAUGCAUGUAUUGUCUGACAGCAUUUAUCAAGUAUAGUGCAUGUAGAAACAUAACCUGUUUGGGAGGACACACAUCGCUUUCUUAACUAAUAAAUAAAAACAGGUAAUGGCAUAACCUUUACUUGCUUAAAAGGCAAACAAGAUGACACAGAUACCAGAAGAAAGAACAGGCCAACAAAAUGGGUGCACAUCAGACUUGGUCCAUCCCUCCACCAAGAUUUUGAUAGAGCAGGUUUGGUACCAGGUCUAUCAAUACUUUGUAAAACGAUUCGAGUAUAGCAUUCUUCAAACUACAAUUUCACCGCGUACUGGCCUCCUACCUUCCAAAGCAUAAAUUAUAUUCUAGGCCCAAAAAAAGCAAGAAGCAGGUCUUCAAAAUGGCUAUACCACCAAUUCAACACAACCACAAUACUACUGUGCCUGAAGAAGUACUGCGUUCUCUUUUCAAUUUAUGGGAGCAUAAGCUCUGGGGAUAGACCAAUGCUAUUUCUGGAGACAAUAUAAAUCUUCUUUUUUUUUCACUAAAGGAAAAUGAUCUUAAGAUGCAGUCUUCUCCAUCUCAACAACGCACACCUGAAUUCACAUUGGGAUCAUAACAUCAAUUUUAUAUUCUUUCAUACCUUACAUUUGAUAUAUGGGUGGACUUCAGGUAGGAAAUAGACAGAUGAAUAAAAGCACAACUACUAACAUAUGAUUUCUCACUUCAUGCACUACUCUUAUAUGUCCAAUUCCUAAAUAAUCUUUGUUUCUAGAAACCUCCCACACAAUAGACCAAUGCUUCAUCAGUAAUUUACACUGCUGAACACCUCCCCCCGGCGAACUGACCGCACAAAUACCAGAAAAGCUAUCCUUCAUAGCACUCUACGUGUUAUCAAUAGCAGUCCCAAGGUAGUAGAAAUUAAAAAAGAAAAAUGCAGAAAAAGAAGCCAGGAAAUCCAGAACCAUGCAAUCAGUAGUGAUCCCAAAUUAAAAGAGUGAUUAUUGACCAUACCUCCAAAGUGAUGACACCACGAAAAUGUCUCUCCUCUUGUGUUUUUGUGUAACCAAGCUGUUAAAAAAUAAGAUAUAGGUGAGUUUCGUCCUACCCAUCAUCUAUAUAAGAGUCAUGUGCGAUUAAAUACUAACAAUUAUAGCAAUUCAAUUAAUUGCUUCCGCACUGCAUACUCUCAAAUCUUAUUUUUCUAAAAUGGAUACAUAGAAACAACAGGAUGAGAAUACAAGUCACUUCCAAACCAUCAGACCACAGAGAUGUGCACAAUAAACAUGCUUUAAUACCAUCCUCUAACAAGUAUUUGCAGCAAGAAAAACCAAGGUGACACUAUCUAAUGAAUGUUCAAAAUUAAGUUUUCCCAACCAGCACAAGUACAGGACAUAAAUACCAGUCUUCAUUUUAACCAUUAAACAGAAUUAAAAAAAAAAAAAAAAAAAAGAGGGCACAAUAUACUAAUUUAGUAACAUGGAAGAAGAAUGUGCCAUAAUAUUUAUCUGAUAACAUUUUACAAACCUUCCCAGUCUUCUCGUUCAAAACAAACCAUCGCUUGCUCCAUCCAUUAGUCUUUGCACUUUUCUUUGAUAAAAAUCCUGCAAAUAACAUGCAAACAGUUCACUAAACUUCAAACUUUCCUAUCAAUAAAUAGUUGAGAUUGCAGUGUUAGCAAAUGCAAAAAUUCUCAAUUAUCAAAAAAAGAAAUUAUUUCCAAGCAUGUUUUUGAGAACAUAAUUUAAUAUAUUUGAAACUAAAUACUAAAUAUGUAAUGAAAGGCUUGUCAACAUCAAGAUCAAAUUCUAAACUAGUUCCAUACUUAAAUUAGGCACCCAUUUCUUUAUAUCUUCAGAACUAUGGUAGCUGUUAAAAUUCUAUAAUGACAUGAAAGAAUUGAAGCAAUUUAGAUGUCCAUAGCCCAAAAGAUAUGUCCAAUUCUUGAAGGCAACAAGGGCAAUAAAUUUCAGAAAAUAUCGUCAUAAAACUCAAAAGGCAGCAGGACACAUGGUAAGACUAAAAUUCUUUAAAGAAAUACAGUAACCCAUGAAACCUGCUGUUAGUUCUCCUUCAGGACCAGCAGUUUUUAAGCUAGAAGCCUCCUGCACUUCCUUAUCAGCCUGAUUGGAUUUCUCUCUCAUUGAUUUCAAACUUCCACCUGUUUGAGGACUAGUCGCCUAAGGACAAAGUAUAAAACAAAAGAAGCAAGGGUAGAGCAUCAACAAAACAUAACAGAAAUGACACAUUUUGGUUACGACUCCUAUUCCAAUAAACAUCAAAAUGAACACUAUACCCUGUUUAAUAUAGCCUGCUCAGCAUCAUUUCCUUUCUUUGAGGACCGGUUCUUAAGCUCCUCCUCUCGGCGCUGUCUUUCCAUCCUAUAGUAGAUGAAAAUGAAAGGAUAACAAUUAAGCUGGAGGUUAAGUUUCAGAUAUGCACUAACAUGUGUAGGAUACAAUACAACAGAAGAUCCUUGCAUAUGCACUAAAACAUUUGGCAUGCUCAGGCACACAAACACAAAAUACAGACAACCAUGUUAAUGUAGAGGUCUGCAACACUACACUUAACAGCUUUAUUAUUUUUGCACUUUUUCAAGUAACUGAAACAGAGAUAGAUAAGCAUGCCAUCACAUAACAAUAAAAUUGCACAGGUUUCCUUGUAAUUGAGCCACUACACCCAACAUAUUAAAAGCAGACCUUGAUAGCUACUCAAAUCUAUACAAGCCAGACAUGUUCUCAGUACCUCCUUUGCACCAAACGGAUGAAAUGUUGUGGCGGCACAAAUACUCGCUCCAUAUCAACCAAUGCGACAACCAUCUUUUUUGAUUCAUUCUUAAACCCAUCUAACGCAGCACUUGCAAUGGCUACAACCUUACAGCAGUAACCACAAAAAAAAUCAACUUUACAAAAAGAAUAAGAUUUUAACCAUGAUAGGCACCCAUGCAGAUUCACAACAUGCAACAUCAAUCAUGGAACAUGUAAUUAUAGAGCACUGUACCUCUCUCUUGAAAGGAGGGUAUCUUCCCAGACCAGGUGUAGCAUUUGCAGAAGCAGAAACUAUAUCCACCAGGACACGAUGUACCUGUUAUUAGUCAGGAAGGAACUCCAUGAAUAGCAUGCAACAGGACCAGUUAUUGAUCAUAGAUCUUCAAAAAAAAUUAUAACAGAAUAAACAAGGUCUACCUCAAAUCAGUUUCAUCUGAAUGGAAAUUCAGAAGUUACUUUCCAAAAAAAAACAUAAACAACAUUUUUUGAUGUGUUAAAAUGAGAAACGAGUAGAAGAUAAACACAGAGCCUUUAUAAAACACAAAAAAUAACAUCUUAUGACUGCUUCAUGGCAUCAGAACCCAGUACACCAUUAAACAAAGUAUCAAGGAACAUGAAUAGAUCAGAAGUCAGAUAUUCAUUUGAUGUUCACAACCACAAUAAACAUCAAAUAUGGAGAGAAGAGGAGUAGAAACGUUCAAAAGUAUGAACUUCAAAGAAUGAAGUAUCAUAUUACAAAAAAUGGUAGAACAAAAUGUAAUUUACCUCAUCAACACAGAGACGUGAUGGUUCUUUUGCAAGCUCCAGCACACCUUUUAUUAAGGAUCUUAAACCCUUUUCAGGUGAUAUAAGAUAUGGUUGAUAUCCAUCUGCUUCUAAGACAAUCUGAUAGAGCACAUAUAGAAGAAAAGAUUAUGCGAUAGCACACGACAAUUCCUAAAAGCAAUACAGCAUGUACUGAAAAAAGAAAGUGAAUAAAAGUGGCACAAUUACCCUCUUAACAUUAUUGAUAUCAAAAUGUCUAUCCAAAGGAAGUUGCUUGAUCCUAUUUGGAAAAUUCCCUUCAAAACUUGCAACAAUUUUCCAACCAGAACCCUGCAGCAAAAUAUUUUAAGUAACAGCUAAUAUUUUGGAUCACGAAACUUCACAGAAACCAUUUCUCAAUUAGUGUCUCUUAACCAUAAGAAAUCAACAAGUGCAUCACUUAGCAGAUUUUAGAUUGACUAUUCAUAGAACAGAAGCAAAUAGCUAAUGGUAAGAUUUUUACAAGCUAUGGCAAGUCCCACUUGGAGAAACAGACUGGGGAUAUCAGAGAUAAUUUUAAAAAUAUCUACCAUUUUAUCCAACACAAAAAAGAAACAAAAGAACAAAAAACUGCACCAUUUGAGUGACAUGAAAAAAAAAAUUGAGUGGAAAAAAAGAAUAAUAAGCAUAGAAUACAAAGAUCCAUAGAAAACUACAUAGGACAAAGGUCCGUGGAGCACUACAUUCUCUAUGAGCAUAACAUCAAUACAUAACGGAUCAUCCUACAGGAUACAUGCUAUGGAACAAAGAACACAGGAAAGCAUAAGAUAUCAAAACACUCACCUCACCCGUCAUAAUGUGUUGGAGAAAUUUAUCCUCAAAUUCACGACAAAGCUCCAAAGCUAUGGCUCUUGUGCCCUCAGCACUUUGAACCAUCUGUUCCCCAAGCCUCAUUAGUUCAUCCUGAACUGUUUGUGACUUCCCUUGCAAACUGCAUGGAUACAAAGGACAAAUGUAUAAGGAAAUAGCCAAAAAAAAACCUACAAAGUAAGCAUAAAUUUAUAUACUGGACAAAGAAAGAAGGUUAAGACUAUUGAUUAAAUUUGUCCCAUCCUUGUCUAUAAUGAAGUUACCUUAACAAAACACUUUCAUUUGUCUUUUUACAGUUUACAGUCCAAGUGUCAUGAUCAUAAUCAAGAAUAAAAAAAGUGCACCAAUUAUCUCCAAAGUACAAAUUAUGUACCAAGGGAGAACAGCAAUAAUAACAACAAAAUCCAUGUCGAGAAAUUUCUUGGCAGCAUGCUGACAACAAGACGAGUACAUAUAAUAGAAUAUUACAUUGAGAGGCAAUACAAGGCACACUGACAAUAGAGCAAAUUAACUAAUAAAGGUAUGGUAAAAAAUUGAAAUUUCUUAAAGAAAGAGAAAAAGGCCACAAACGAAGUAUAAAACAAUUACCCAGAGAGAACAUUUGGAAGCCGAACUUUCAUGCGCUUACGAAUUUGCUGUGCCAGAGCAUCUAGUAAAGCAAUUCUGCCUAGCUUGCUCUGCGGGGCUCCAGUCAGUAUCGUUUUGAGACUUUCACUCUCUGCUUUCCAUGCAGUUUCCAGAGAGCUUUCAGACCCAGACUGCGCAGAAGCAAUUGAAACUGAUUGACCAAUUAAAGCAAUCCAUGGGAUAUCAGUGGUUUUUGGUGGCCCUUGAUUUAGAAGGAGAGCCUGAACAGCCGCGAGAGCUUUCUGGUCCGUAGCAGCUUGAUCUAUUUUACUAAUUACACCAACAGUUCUAGUACCUGUCAUUGACGGAAGAGGAAACCUAUUUAAUCAUAUUAAAGAUGUGUUUGGUAGGGGGUGAGAAGAGAUCCUAGUAACAUUUUACCCCUUUCAACUAGUUUGGAACAGAAACAGGAAGGAAAUUACCAGGUUUUACCCUCACAAAAAGUAAUAAAGCGGGAUCCACUAAAACCAAUUUUCCUCAUCACUUUUUAUGCACAAGUCCUUACAUAUAUUUACUUACAGUUUUUAAGUAUAGGCCCCACUAAUAUACAUCACUUAUCUUUCUAAUUGUGAGUCCCACCAACACCUUUAUUUGCACCCUUAGGCAUCCUGGAUCUACUAAACACUGUUAUCAUUUACACCUUAAUAUUUACUCUUGCAACAUUUCUAUGAAAUUUUUUGACAAGUAAUAAAUCCAACAUAAGAAAAGGGCUUUUGAACACGUAAAAGUAAAAAAAUUAUAAAACAACUAGCAGAAAGAGAGAUGAUGGAGACACAAGAGUAGAAAGUAUGUGCUAAAAAAUAUGAGCGUCUGAAAUCACCCAUGUAGCAAAAUUGGCCUGUAUUAAAACUAUCACAGAUAUCAGCACAAUCAACUUUAACAGCCAUUUACCUUCUCCAUCGUACUCCUUGGCAAUCCUGAGGGCUCGAUAUGAAGCAAUUUCAGGUGCCUGGGCUGCAGGUACAAUAACUAGCAAAAUGGCAUCACUGUGCUCUGCAUAGUCACCAACCUAAGCAAUGGCCAUAUUGAAAAGUUAUUACCAUAACAUUUUGAGCACCACACUGAACUAAUUACAUGCACAAAAAAUAAACAAAUAAUGGAAACAGAGCCAAAAGCCUCCUUUUUUUCACAGAUUACAUGCAAAGUAAUGUUGAUCACCAUGACAAUAAUGCUGGUUGAUGUCAAUCCAUAAAUGUAAUACAGGUCUAGAACCUUUAAUUAACACUUACCAUAGACUCAUCCACAAUCCGUUGACCCAAGCCAGGUAAGUCAAUCAAUUUCAAGGAAGGUGCUGAGAAAAAACAUGUUAAACAGUAAGUAUGGUAACAACAGUAUCUGUUUGGCCAAGAGGCACAAGGGCAUAGGAUUAAAUGAAUCUUAAUUAGUUAACUGAAUCUUAGAAUCUCCCAUCCCAUCAUGGGACUCUAUGACAAUAGUCUUCCACAAAACAACAGUUAAUCCCAAAUCUUAAAAUCUUUAUGCAUAAAUUAAACAAGAAUAAACAGUAUUUAUAAUGAACGAACCUGUGCUUGUGCGCAGUUUCAGGUAUAUCUCAUCCCGAAUAUUGUCAGUGACACCCUUACUUAGCCUAUCCUGCAAAGAACGCCGCAAAGCACCUGCAAAAUAACAAAAAUCAUAUUGACAUUUUAUAAAUCUGAAAGGAGUCCAGUUAUUACAUGUUUAUUGACAUUUCACCAUAUAGUGGAAAAGCAAUUUUCCACCUCAGUCAAGUCCUACACAUAUUUCUGUUUUCACCACUAACUCCUAUAUGUAAAUUUCGUAUAUCUUAUGAGUUAACUACAUAUUGCUUUUAGCCUCACCAGUGGCCAUUGCAUAUCUUACAGCCUCAAACAAAGAUGAAAAUUCAAACCAGUGAUCAAUAUUGUCAUCUAACCAUGUUAGCACUUAGCAGCUGGGGGUUGUAAGUUAUGAUGGGAAUCCUAAAGCUGCCAGCUCUGCAGAAGUUGGUGGCAUUUUCAAAAAUCAUUAGAUGAUAACAUGAGAUUCCUAAGAGGCUGUUUUGGAGUUAAUCCUUAACCAUAUAAUCAUAAGCAACUGGCAAAGAGAACAA
rnacentral:lncRNA from 1 species